UUUUUAUAAUGUUAUCACAUUACAUUAUAUUUUCAGUUGAUUUAUCUUGAGGUCGAUUUUCGUUUAUUAUCGUGAGAAAAUUAUUAGUGUAUUAAUUUUAUAAUUUGAAACUCUUAGAAAAAAUAUAUUACUUAUUCUUACUUUAAAUUUAUUCAACUAUAUCAAAGUGAAAUAAAAACCAAAAGAAUAUAAACCAUUAUAUUUUUAAAUUUUUAAACUUUUAAUUUUUAAUUUUAUUUUUUCUUAAAAACAUUAGUAGUUCUUUCGAUUCAAACCAAUAAAAUUAAAUUAAAUUUACAAUAUGAUAUUAGAAUUUUUUAAUCAUGUUUAAUUUUUAAAAAAGUUCUCAAAUGUUAUAUAAAAUUAAAAUAUAUAUUUAUAUAAAAUAUUUUUAUUGUAAUUCACCCGCCCGUAGGGCGGGCCAACCCCUAGUUAUAGUAAUAAAGCAAUGCUGAAAAUAUAGAGCCAUUCUUUGAGAAGCAAAAAUAAAAUCCUUUUGCUGACAAAAAAAAACAAAAACAAAAUCCUUAGAAGAUAAUUAAAAUGAAAUUGAAUAGUAUGUUUAAAGAUAGUUGAUUGAGCCUACUAUCUAAAAUGAACUGCAUAGAUAUAAAUUUGUCGGCUAGAAAUAAAUUAUCAUUCAGAUUUGUAAUCUUUUUAAUUAACUCUAAUCCAUAAAUUUGAUGAUAAAAAUCGGCUCAUAUAACUGGAGUGUAAGUAGUUGAUUAGAACCACAUGCCAACGGCUUGAUAAACUCGAAUCUGACUGCAAUCUUUAACAUAAUUAUAUAUCAAUGUGUGGUAUGAAACUGCUGAUUUCGAAGUGUCACUUUUAGCCCUACAUAUCUUGAUUAACGCACAUUUUAAGAUAUUUUCAAUUAAAAUUUUGAAAAUAGUAAGUUUUAGUGACUUAUUACAACGACCACAUCUACUGAUUACUAAAUAAAAGGCUUCUCUUCCGCAUGUGAGUAUGUGACAAGAAGCGCCACCAAAUCUAGGUUAAAGCUCUUUUUUUUCUGUCGAUGCUCAUAGCAGUUUUUUUCCCAAAUUACACAAAUAGUUUCAUUUUUCUUUAUUGGAAAGUAUUGUUUUAUACUUCUAGACAGAAAUUGGAACAUAUAUAGAUAAAUUUACAGGAGAGCAAUAAGGGUAUAAAAAGUUUUUUUUAUAUGAUUUAAUGAUGCAGUUAUAUAAUUUUUUACUAAUACUAUUUAACUUGUGAGCGAUAACAAAGAAAAAACUGUACGGUUGAAUUUUUCAACUUGAACUUUGUCACAAUUCAAAAUAUAGUAUGGUAAGAGAAACCAUCUUUUGAAGCUUUACUUCUCAAGAAAAAAAAAUGUGCGGUUAAGAAAAAAUUUCUAAAAGUUGUAGGGAAAUUGUCAAAUACCUUUAUAACUUCAACUCAUGUUUUAAAUGAGCUUUAUUCUGGUCUUUCUCCAUCUUUUCACAGGAAAACUAUGUCCUAUAUCAACUACAUCAGCAGCAUCACCAAACCUAACUGCACAGUUUUUCAUUCGACCAUGCAUAGACGAACAAGCAACAUGCAUUAAAUAUAUCUAACUAUAGUACCAUGCUGGCGAUGCAAAAGAAACACCGUGUAUAUCUUAAUUAUUUUGUUAUGGUCCGCGUCAUGAAUUUAAUGGGAAACAGUUUCGUUCUGUUCAUGCUUUUCUUGACUUUAAAUAUGAUAAAACAAAGCAUUGGCAAUAAAACAUUAGUGCAAGUUUUAAAGUUGACGAUAAGUUCCCACUCUCCAAAGAAAGUGGCACUUUCCUUCUACUAUUAACUUAGGAAACAAUAUAAAGUAAUUAGAUUGUCUAUGUAGACACAAAUUAAUUAAAAUAUAUCUUUGAUUGAUCUUCUAUUCCUCUUGAACUUUUAAAAUAAUUCUCUUUCACAGAACAUUGCACUAUUCCUUAUUCAACAAGUGAACAACAUUAUCAAAACUCAGGGGGUGUUAGUGGGAGUUAGAUUUAUGAUGAUUGUUAGAAUUUAUAGAAUCUAUUGUUAUUGGUUUAUACAUUCUCACAUUCUCAUUAAAAUCUAGUUUUAUUGGUUUCAUGAUUUAGUAAUUCUAUACACAAUCUUUUGUUAUUCAAAAAGUCUAGAUUUUAAUGAUUCCUUAAAUCUAUUAAAGUUGGUGUUAUUGAAAGUUGUAUUCUUCACCAUUUAACUCAUAACACAAGAUUUUGAGAAUACUACUUAUAUACCUUAGAUUCUUAGAAUCAUUAAAUCAAUGUAUUUUCAUAGAAUUUCACAAUAUACAAAACUCUCUACAACUCUUUCCAAAUUUAACAAAUCUCUCAACUUUUAAAAUCAAUAAACUCUAUAUAAAUCUUACUCCCACUAACACCCCCUUAGUAUAUAUUUAUUUUCUUUCACUAAAACAUAAACAAACAAACACUAUGUAAUUACUGAAAUGUAUAUUUGGCAUUUUAGAUGUUGACGAUGCUUAAAAUAAGAAUCAUACACAGCUUGAUUAGCCAUGGGUCUCACGAAGGAAGAUAUCGACGUACCGCGCGAUAUAUAAAAUAGACCGAGUAUUAUUUGUUCAUAUCUAAAGUUCCAAAAAACAUAAAUUAAAGAAAAAAAGUAAAAAAAUGAUUGGAAAUUUAAAACAUAAGAUGUAAGUGAACCCACCAAUCCCGGUGAAAUCAUUUCCCUCCAAUGAUUAUAUUCAAACAUAUUCAACUUUUGACUAUUUUACAUUUUCGAUUUUAGUUUUUCCGACUUUAUAAACAGCUAGCUGGUCCUUUUCCAUAUGAUGGAAAGUGGGGUGAAAUACUUCUAUUUGAUUUGAACGACUAAAACUUCCAAACAACAAAUACCUAUCUUAUAUUAGAUCUUGAAAACAACUUGCACAUUUAUCCCACCCGAAAAACGACUUGUAUAUACUUUUUAUAAGAAAACAGAACUCUUACAUUACUUGAACUGCUAUAUUUUCAUCCUUGAUCUGUAAUUAUUAAAACACAGUCGAUCAACGCGUACAUAUACAAUUAGAAUCAUUAAAAAAAAUUGUGAUACCCACACCACACAUUAGGUUGAGAUUUCGGAUAGCAAUAAAAACUCAUUUAACCUAUAUUGUAGAUGUUUUACAGUUGAAAGUUGAAACUGUUAUGCUAGAUGUGUGAGGUUCAAAGUAAAUAACUGAUAUAAACACGUUUCGAUUUUUUCUUUGUCAAAAAAAAAACAACAACCCCAAUAAGUACUCAUUCAACAAAAUAGCAUGUGUUCAAAUGGGUAAAAAGACUAGUCAUAUACAUCAAGGUUAAAACCAAGAUACACUACCUACAAAAAUCAUUGUGUGGCAUUCCUAUUGUAGAUAAAUCUUUUUUUUUUUGAGCACGUAGAUAACUAUCAAAUUACAAAACAUCUAACAUUUUAUAAUUCCAAUUUAAUUUUUUGUACACGUAGAUAACUAUCAAAUUACAAAAUAUCUAACAUUUUAUAAUUCCAAUUUAAUUUAUGUGACAUACUCAAAUCCUGUCCCGACUAUAGAAAAAUAAAUUAAAAUUCAACACAAAAUUGCGGCUAUAUAAAAUUUAAAAAAAUAAGAAAAAUUACAAGAAAACAGAUCAUUUUUAAAAAAAAUUGAUGAUGAAAGGAAAAAACAGACCAAUAAAAGUCUAGAAUGAGUAGUAUCAUACCAAUCACCAUCAACAUUAGUUUCUCCUCCUUUCAUUAUUUAGAUCGAACCCGAGUAUCUAACUCAGUUCCACUUACAUCUUCCAAACAAAACAAAAAACACAGCACCUCUUUCAGUUCUGAGUUUCAGAAUCUACCCACACAAAAAAAUACUAUAAACAAAAAAAUAUAUACUAUUUAAUAAUUUAAAAAUAAGAAAAUAAAGUAUAUUGGUUUUCUCGGGGAUGGAGAACUCGUACGACUCAGCAGCAGCAGCCAAGUGGUCUGAUUCAACAAGUCCAUAUAACAUGGUCUCAUGGUCAUUAUUACAACCUGGUUCCUCAGAUUCUGAUCUUAGCCGCUUUAACCUUGGUUCCUCUGAUGAAUUAGUCGGUGGGAACGACAAGGCUGAGUCGGUUUCAAGAAGCCACCGUCUAGCGGAGAAGAGACGCCGUGACCGUAUUAAUUCUCACCUCUCCGCGCUCCGGAAACUCGUCCCUGAUUCCGACAAGGUAACACCCCUUAUUCAGACAGAAAUAUAAUGUUCUUUUAAGCUUCAAUUUAGUCAUCCAAUUCGGUUUGUGCAAACCGGUUUUGAUCUAAGCUUAAUGCUUUCGGUUUAGUCAUCAAUUCCGGUUUUUGAAAACCGGUUUUUUACCUUAUUUCGGUUAUGCAAAAUUGUUGUUGCUUUAUUUGUAACUAGGAUAAGACCCGCGCCUUGCGCGGGAUUAAGUUAUUAUUUUUAUUAUAUUUUGGAGAAUGAAACAAUAGUUUGGCUUCAUUUGGAUUACGGGUGUUCAAUCCGGAUAACGGAUUGGUUUCGGUUCGGUUUGGUUUUUUUGGUAUUUGGUUAGUAAAAUAUAACUACUAUUAUAAAUCCAUAUGUACUUUGAUUUUAGUCUUUCACAUACUUUUGAAAGAUUUCAACUGGACGACUAAAUUGAUCAGCCAAUCUUGUUGCUUUAAAUCAUUAGUGUUUAUAUAUAUAUAUAUAUAUAUAUAUUAUUUAGUUUGAAUAUUUAUUAAAUAAAAAUUCAUAUGCGUUAUAUUUUAUGAUCAUUUGUAACUUAUUAUAACAAAAAAAUAAUCUAUUGAUCACAAAAUUUUCAGAGUGGGAAUAUUCAAAUUUCUAAUAAUAUAUAGACAUUUUGAAAAAUUCAAAUAUAACAUAUAAGAAAAAAUAUAAAUGUUUUUAUUAUAUAUUUAAUGUGAUUUUUUAAUAUCUUUCAAUAAUAUAAAAUUAAAAAAAAUUGUUAUCAAAUAUUUAUUAUUCAUUAUAAUUAAUUUUUACAUAUACGUUAAUCAUAUUAGGUAAUUUCGUAGCUUUUAUUUAAGGAAAGUGCAAAACAUUUUUUGGUACGUUAUUUAUCAAUUCGAUAGUUAGUUUAAUAAAAAGUGUAAUAUAAGUUAAGAUGGACCAACCUAUUUUUCUAGGAAUAGUAUAUUUUGUAUAGUUAUUUAUUAAAUAAGAAUUUAUAAUCAUACGGUUCUAUGAUCGUUCAUAUCGUUUUAUAACAAAAUAUUUAAAUCAUCGAUAACAAAAUUUUCAAUCUGAAAUCUUUAAUAAGUUUAUAAUUUAUAAAUGUUCUUGAAAAUUCAUUGAAACUUUUAAUAUUAAAAUAUUUAUGUAAUCCAAUGGUAUAUAGUGUUUAAUCUAUAUAUAUAUAUAUUUAUUUUAUUAUUAAAUGAUAUUUUUUGCUCAUAUGGUUUUAAAAUCAUGUGUAUCUUCUUAUAAUAAAAAUGUUAAACCAUUGAUCAUUAAUUUUUAACAUAAUAAUUUUAAUAGUUUUAGUCAUUUAUUGUCGUUUUUAAAAAUUCAAAAUAUAACAUAUACGAAAAAAUCUAAAUUUUCUUUUUAUAGCUAAUUUGAUUGUUUAAUUUAUUUUAAUAAUAUAAAAUUAAACAAAAAAUGAUGGAGGAGAUAUACAUUGUUAUCAAAUCUUUAUUAUUAAACUCAUUAAUUGUCAUAUAUAUAUUAGUCAUUUAUGGUAAUUCCGUAGGUUUUAUUUAAGGAAAGAAAAUAUCAUAUCAUAUCAUUAUAUCAUAUAGUUUGACCAACUUAUAUAUCUAACAACAUAUAAAAAUCGAAUGUGGACCUACUUAUUUUUCAAUUGAAUGUAAUUGACUACCUAAUUGAGUGACACCUAUGCAUUGGGGCCUUUUUUAAUUAAUACAAAAUUAAGGUUACAUCUUUUCAAAUGUUCCUCAAUUAAUAUAUAAGGGAUUUGAUAAUGGAUAAUGUCUUAAAUUAUCAGCAAGAUAGAGAUUUGAAUGUUUGGCUUUAAACUAAUUCAAUUUGAGUAAACCGUUUUUUUUUAUCCGAGUCGGUUCGACAUAUGUGGUGGUUGUUUACAGACAAGACACCUCUUUAAAUCAAAUCACAUCAUUUAUCUCUCGCAUUGUCGUCUCACAAUGUUGCGGUUUAGUAAUGAAAUCUAAUUGAAGUAAACCGGGUUUUGACUCUUAAACAGUUAGACAAAGCAGCACUCUUAGCAAGCGUGAUUGAACAAGUGAAGGAACUCAAACAAGAAGCAAAAGAAUCUCCAAUCUUCCAAGAUCUUCCAACAGAAGCAGACGAAGUAACCGUCCUGCCUGAAACCAUCUCCAAUGAUUUUAACCAAGACACAACCAUCUUCAAAGCUUCUUUCUGCUGUCCAGAUCAAACCGAAGCAAUCUCAGAGAUCGUUAGCGUUCUCACAAAGUUUAAACUCGAGACAAUACAAGCUGAGGUCAUCUGUGUUGGACGAAGAAUGAGAAUCAAUUUCAUGUUAAAAGAGACAGCAACUACUACAUCAGCAAAAGCUUUAAAGCAAUCUCUAUGCGCAGCGUUGAACCGAAUCAUAUCAUUGACUACUUCGUCUACUUCAUCGGUUUGUAGGAUCAGAAGCAAAAGGCAGAGAUGGUUCCUCUCUUCUAACUACUCACAGUGAUAUCUUAGUAGAAUACAAACCCAUUUAUUUUGUUAGCAAUUUAAAGUUAUAAGCUAUUGCAAGAAUUGUAAAUAAACUGGUGAAAAUGUGAUUAGGUAGAUAAAGCUUUAACAUUAAUGGAGGAUCCAUACAAAUCCGACAAGAACGAAGCCAAGAAAACAUAAAACUGAAACAAGAUCAAACAAAAGUACUUAGGGAAAGUAACAGAAACAAGGAAGCAGAUUGAAAAGACUUGGAAUCUCUCUAUGUCUACUUAGAUCGCUGUCUCAUCUUUCGUCUCUUCCUCUUCAACCUCCUCAUACGCUUCUUCUUCCACUGCAAAAAAAAACACGAUUUAAAAUGUGGCUUAGAAGAGUGAUAAACAGAUGAAUGUAUUGGAGAGGAUUAGGAAGAUGGACAACGUACCUUGGCUCUCAUGGUGAAGACUCUUUUUUCUCAAAACGCGGAUUCACGGUGACGGUAACAAGAAAAGAAAUGAAGCGUCACUGUGAAUAUAUACCAUACCCUUGAAAACCCUAGCUAGAUGUUUGGGCCUUAACGUUGUAAGCGUUUGGGCCUUAACGCUAAUAUAUUCCCCAACUCUAAAGAAAUUAGAAGAAUGAUUGUUAAUUAAUUUCUAAGCUAGAAAUUUUUCUUUUGCCAACUAGAAUUUAUUUGCUUUUAAGCAGAAUCAUUGUUUACAGAAUCUACUAAGACAACUGGACAUGAGUGAUAUAGAACCAAAGGUUUGGAGAGAAAAUAGCUUUCUUAAUUAGCUCGCUCUGGUGUUUUUGGGCUUUGUCAUCCUUAUAUGAAAUAUGUGUCUUUACAUAUUUGAUAGCCGGCUUGGUGUAAGUUUGUAUAAACGAGUUGUUCUCUUGUAUAAUUCUAGCAGUGUUGACUACUGUUGUUAUAAAACAUCUCAAUAAUAAAACAACAUAUGAUGAAAACCUUAGCUAAAAGAUACACAUGAAAAGAACCUCUAGUGUUCUAUUUUCUUUGUUCGAUUAGAGAAAAGAAAUUAUAAUACGCUUUAAUACCAAAUACACAAGGAAGUCACAAAGAGAGCUAUGAUAAAAUCAAGUCCAUAAACUUUGAAGACUUAACAAUUCAUUGCAACCAUUGGAACUGAAUCAGCAGCGAUGGAGUUGUAAUGGCCAAUAUGCGACCUGGUGCGCUGCGAUCAUAAAUAAGCAACAAAGUAGGUAUCUGUUUAUAUCCAUGUAACUGUCCUACACAUAAUAGAAGAGUCAUAGGAGUUUCUUUUUAACUUGGAAUAGUAAAUUCUUAUCAAAUACUAGAAACUAUUCAAAAUCACACUUACAAAAGAGUAUUAUAUAAUACAUGACGGUAUUCUACGAAAGAAAAUAAUUAAAACACACAUUGUUGAUUUGCAAGCAACAUAACUAUAGCUUACAAAACUUAUUUAAAUAUAUAUUGUAUAUUUUAGCUACAAACCCUCCAUCGACAGCAAAUGAUCAUCCAUUAGUACUAUCGAUGAUAUACAAACAAAACAAUAUAUGCAUCCGGAGGUGACCUUUCCUCGGAAACGUGUUCUCUCAUAUUUUCCCUUCAUCCAUAUAUGUAGUAUAUAUAAUUCAAACUUAAGCGUACACAUAAAUAAAUAAAACUCUCAGAGAUAAAAUGAGAUAUAUAAACCUCUGAAAGUCAAACAAAAUCGAAAAUAUCAUCCUAUGAGGCACUCUAUGAAGUGUUGAACCAAUAAACUCGCAUAAAACUUUCCACCGUUCUCCUCCUCUUCCACAUAUGUAUAUACUUUAUUGGAACCGUAAUCUCCUUUACGAAUUCCCUGAAAAUAUACUAAAAAAAUCUUCAAAGCAGUAAAAACAUCCUCUUAAUUAUCUAUAUGUAAAAAAUCCUCCAAACUUGUGCAUGCAAAGCUCCUCAUCGAGUGUAAUCUCCUUGAUUCCUUUCAAAAAUGAAUCCUCAGAAUCUUUAAUGGUCUUGACCGACCUUUAGGGUUCCUAAUCGAUGCCAUAUGAUCAAAAGUCAAGCAAGAAGGGAUCAACAAAAUCCCACAUACUCCCCCAAUGACUAUACUCGUCUUCUCCGCCAAAAGGCCAACCCGUAGCAGAUCCAUCACCAACCAUAUUAUAACCCGGAUCCAUACCCAUAGAACUAACCGGAUCAACAACGGCCGUGGAUAUUGAUAGACUUGAACCUACCGAGCCAGUUAGAGAAUUCAUAUUCUCCAUCAAAUAAUUGGUAUUAUUACAAGCACUUCCUCCUUGUUCUUGCCCUAACGCCACUUCAUGACGAAACGACGUCGAAUUAGCAACCGGCACAUCUGUGAGCUCCACGUCACCCAUCUUGUUAUUGUUAUUACACGAGUGAAGAUUCUGAUACGGUUGGUGAUGGAACUGUCCCACUUGCGUCAUCUGAUUUUGUUGUUGUUGUUGGUGUUGGUGAGGGAGAAGACCAUAACUAGGGCAUAACAUAGAGGUCGACCCACCAGAAAGAAAGAUAUUGUUGGUAAAAGGCACACCGUAAUGACCAAAGGCUGAGGCGGAGGAGGAGGCGGAGGGACGAGGGAGGAGAGGUCUUAGGGUUUGAGUGGAGGAAGAAGAGGAAGAAGGAGAAGAGGAAGCGGCGGAGACGGUGGAGGAAGAAGAAGAGACUGAUGAAGGAGAGGAAGGAGAUAAGUUGAGCUGAGCACGUGACCCGUAUAGGAAAACGGCGGCUCGGUCGUAGGCACGUGCGGCGUCUUCGGCGGUGGCGAAAGUACCAAGCCACUUGCGAGUGCGUUUACGUGGCUCGCGGAUCUCGGCGACCCAUUUGCCCCAGCUUCUUUGUCGGACGCCACGGUAACGAAACUUGGCGUUGUCGGGACCACCUUUGCCUUUACGUUUGCGUUGUUGGCCGGAGGAGGUUGAGUCGGUGGAAUCGGUUUGAGGAUUGUGGGUUAGGGUUUGUUGGAUACUAUCAUCAAGAUUGUGUUGUUGUUGUUGGGAAGGUAAAGGGUCCAUAGAUGAAGAAGAAAGGAAAGAGAAAUGGAUUAAAGAAAUUGAGAGGACGAAUCAAGAAGGAAGAGAGCCUGAAGAGUGUUUGAAUGUCACGGUUGUGAAUGGUGGAUUAGGGCGGUGCUUCUCUUUUUAUUAUUAUUUACUAAGUUUUGUUUUUGGUUGUUGUCACUAAGGUACAUAAAAAGCUUAUACAAGAAGAAACACAAAAACGAAUUGUAUGCCAAGUACAGAUCAAUCGUUCCGUCUUGCAACUAGAUUAUCAUGGAAAGAUGAUUGAAGCUGGGAUGUUGAACGUCAAGUCUACAAAAACGAGGCCAAACAUCUAUUGGUGUUAUAAACUUCACAUAGUUCAAUAGUUCUAAUCAUUGUGUUGAUAAUCAACCCGGUUCUGAAAAUAGUCGGAUAAAACAUUCCUUUUUCUUAAAAUUAACAUGAACUAUAUAUAUAUAUAUAUAUAUAUAUAUUUAAAUCUCAGAUCCGUCUAUGUUGACAAUCCAUAUAUUAGUCUCAAACAUCCAUUUAAUUUACUAAGUUUAAUAUAGUUUCUAUAAUUGUGAUGUUAAAUUUAGCUUAUAGCAUCUCUUAAGCUAUUUUCAUCUUUAUUGUAAAGUCAUAUUUUUAUUUUUAAAAUAGUUCUUUAACUUUUAAACCUUUAUGGUUAUAACCAAGACAGCUAUUUUUUUUUAAAACACAUUAUUUAAAAAUAGAAUCACACUUUUGAUUUACGUAAUAAUAUUUAAGGAACAUUUUAGUCUAAACAAAAUUAUAAUUUUAUGAAAUUUUUUUAAAAGUAAAUAAAGUCAACUAUCAUUUCUCAUGAAUAAAGGUACUUGUUGUAAAAUUUAAUAGAUUUUUAAAAAAAUAUUUUUUGAGAUAAAAAUAGAUAAAUACAUUAGAAAAAAUAUAUCUCUAUUUUAGAGUUACUCUAUUUCAAAAGUAAAAAACAUAGAAUAUACUAGAGAAGAUUUUAGUUAUAGUUUGUUAAACAGCUGUAUAAAGUAUAAUAAAUUAUUAAUCAAGCCCUCGUCAUACUUUAGAAAUGGAACUAAAGUUCUACCUAUGAAUAUUAGUACAAUAGAACUUCUAUAAAUUAAUGAUGUUGGAAUUUAAAAUUUUUAUUAAUUUAUAAAGAUAUUAAUUUACAAAACCUUUCUUAGUUAGAUUUUUUCUUUUAAGAUUUAUUUAUUUUAAGAUAAGAAAAAUGUUUGAUUUUAGUGUAUAGAAAUUAAUUUUUUUUUGAAAUUUGAAAUUUAUAUUUAUAUUAAUUUUAUUAUAUUAUUUGGUGUAUAUAAGUUAUAUUGCAUAGAACUUAAAUAUGGUUUUAGAUAUAAUAUUACUAAAUCUCAUAAAAAAAAUGUUAAAAAAAUAUAAAGAUAAUUCAAUUGUGAAUAUAAAGCAAAUAAUAUAAUAAUAUGUUAUUACUUAUAUAAAAUAUGUAUACAUAUAAAUUAUCAAUUAAUAAUUUUAAUGGACCAUAUAUUUACAUAGAAUUUUCUAAAAAAUAUUAUCUUAUUAUUUUAUCGAUUUGUGUCAAAUUUUGAACCGGUUCAAACUGAGACCGGCGAAAUUUAUUAAUUUAUCGAGUAUUAAUUUAUAGAGAUUCUAUUGUAUUUAUUUUCAUUCAAUUCAUAGUAUACCAAAUGUUUUACUCUCUUCGUUUAAAUGUAAGUAAUUUUAGAAGAAAAAAAUUGUUUCAAAAUAUACAUUGUUUUCACAUUUCAAAGAAAUGUAUUUAUUGAAUAUUGUGUAACUAGUAAAAUAAUAUAUAUAUAUUUUUUAUGGUUGUUGAAUUUAAACAUUAAAUGAUACUUUUUGAAAACUAACAAAUUUUUAAAACUGAUGUUUUAACUAAAACUACUUACAUUUAGAAAGGGAUUAUGUUUUCAGAUAUUUUAGAAAUCAGAACUGAUAUUACAUAUAGAGUUAACGGUUGUAUACUCGAAACCUACAGUCCACACAUAACUGAUAAAUCAAAGAAUCGGCUAAAAUCAAUUUAUUGGUUGGGUUUUUAACUGUUAAAACAACUUUAUUAGUUGGGUUUUGAAAUAGAAAAAAAUAAAUUAAUUUGCGCACUCGGAGAGUGUUGCAGAUGCAUUGCUAGCUGCUGCCACUGGAGGGGCAGAAAUACAGUGCAGAGAAGCUGAGUAGUGCAGAAGUAAAUAUAUCUGCGCUUUUAUUCAAACCACUCAUGGAUAUAUGAACAGCUCAUUUAGUCUUCAUACCAUUCUUGAAAAAUACUUGGCGUCAGUCAAAUAGUUUGCCCGAUUAAUAAUAAUUGGAAACAUUUAUAGAUUUGGGAUACUACACACUUUUUUUUUGGUCAAUACUACACACUAUUUUAACAAAAGUUAUGUAGAUGUUGAAAACACUCACAUGUUAAAUAAUUAAUAUCUAUUAAAAUGCGUACCUGUACCGUAGAUAUUUAUGUAUGCUUCUAGGGUAAGAAAAAGAAAACUGAACUCACACCAUUAUAUAAUCCAUUUUUCCUCCAAUCCUUAAAUGCUCAUUUAAUUAUACAAAUAUAUAUUUAGUCAAAGAGUACAAAUAUAUAGUAUUUGAAAUUACUGUGUAAUCAUGCAAUUGGAGGCCUUUUAAAGAAAAAGAAAUAAGAAGUCGAUAUAAUACUUUCAAACCUGCCUGCAUGUAUUUGAUAUUGGUCUAGAUUUCAAUUUUUUUAAAAUUAUAUGUCUUUAAAUUAUAGAAAAUAUGUUUAAGAUUUUUGGAUGGAAAACACUUUAUAACCCCCGAAUCGCAAAUCCGGCAAGUGUUUUUGACGAAAUUGAAAAUAUUAAUAAAAAUAGUAGGAUUCUUUUUGACUAAGUAUAACAUUACGAUUUAAAAUUAUAUCAACGUAUAUCUUAAGAUUUUUUUAUUCUGAUGCAUGAAUAUUAAAAGUCUCGGUAGUCCGGCAAUAAACAUAUGAUCUUCAAAACCGUUCGACGAUAAUUGAAAUUAUGACACUUGUUUAUUUCAACAAUAUUUAUGAUUUCAUCAUCAUCUUUGUGACAUUUCUGAUAAAAACCAAGAAUUGUAUUAAUAUAAGAUCUAUAAUACUGAGUACACGUAUCACCAAAAAAAAAAAGAGAAACAUAUAUUGUAGAUACGUUCAUCAUAACAAAGUUUUUCGUGGUUUUAAUGUUAAUCAUAUACCAUUUUUAAUGUAUUAUGUUGUUUUCUAAAAUUAAAAUAAUAAUAUAGAUAAUUUUUUUUUAUUGUAUGCUUUUAAAGUAUUUUUUCCUUUUUCCUUUAAACAUUAAAUAUGUUAUUUUCUUCUAAAUAAUGAUUUCUGUUUUAGACAAAAAAAAAUAGAGGUGAAGUCGAUUUUUUAUAUAUAAAUGCUAUCUAGAUACUCUUGGAAACGUUGGAAUUGAUAAUACUCCUAUAUACUAACAAAACCUCCUCUUCCAAGGGAUUUACGUUUUUGUUUGUCAUCCACAAAACUAUCAAUUAAAAAAAAUUAAAGAAAAACUAUCAAUUGUAUGAAAAAAUAAAAAGAGAAAAAAUGUGAAUAUUGCAUGGGAGAGAUGAGGUGGCAAGGAAGGAAGCAAAGACAGCAAAAGAACCAAAGCUUUUUCUUGUGGUUUCUGAGAUCUCAGCCCAAUUGCCUUGGAACUCUCACCUUUUUAUGGCGCAGCAGAACCCAACUAGUUGCGCCAUACAUUCAUUUUUCUUACAUUUAUCCAUAUAGUAUAUCAUAUUAUCAAUGUAGCUCGAUUAUUCCAAUCAUGUAACGCACGUGAAUCUUAUAUUGACGAUGUGUCUACCAUCAGAUAACAUAUUAUUGAACCUUUUUAUUUUCUUCAGAUUCUUUUAGGACUUAAGAUGAUAAUUACCCAUAACAGUGUGGACAAUGAAUUCCAAUGCUUCUGUUCUGCAACGGAUCAUAAAUAUUUCUACAAUAUAAUGUUUCAUAGGUUAUAAAGUGCUCAUAAGUUUUCGGGGGAUUACAAAACGUCCGACAUAACAUAAGUCGCAAGAAUACCAAUAACAUUAUUUUAAGCACACAUUGACAUUAGUUUGUAGGUUCUUACGAUGUAGUCAAUAGCUUCAAACCUGUAACUAGUUUGCCAAGAACAUUAAUUUAGAGAUUUUUUUUUUAAUUAAUUUAGAGAUUUGUUAGUCCGUAUCCAUCAAAUUUUUUUAUCACAACAAGUAUCCAAAUGAUUAACAAUGACUAUAUAAAAUCCAAAUAGCACUAUUUAUUAUUUCGUAUAACUUUAAAAUUCAAACGCUUACAAAAAUAGACCAGUCCAGGUAUCACUUCUAGAUAAAUUUUCUUUUGAAUGACAUCAUAAAUCCAAAACCAAAUUAAGCUAAAGAAUUACUAUAUUUUUAUAUAAAACAAAGCAAAUGGCUGGGGCGGGGAGCAUUGUCGAGCAAAAGCCUUUGUUCAAGAAAAAAAACAUUGUCCAUCAAGAUGAGAUAAAUGUUCACAGUUCACAUGCCAAUAAACCGUGGGCUGCACUUUAAUCAACAUUUGAGAUUGUGUACCGUGUGCGGCUAUAUAUUUUCAUGUAUGUUUGGAUAAGGACCCUUUCAUGUCUAUUCGAAUCUGAUGUCUUCAAAGGUCCUUUUUUUAAUCAUUAAAUCAAAGUAUAUUUAUGAAAAUAUAAACUAAUUUUUGAUGUGACAUAAUUAAUACAUGAUUUAUAUUAUCAAUUCACUUAUUUUAUUUUGAAAGCAUAAUAAAUUUGAAUUUAAGAUGAAAUCAUAAUUAAUAUAUAUAAUAAAUUUAAAACCGAUAUAAUUCAAUUAUUAUUAAUUAAUUUAAUAAAAAUUCACAAUAAAUCUAAGUUUAACAAUACUAAAUAUGACUUAACACGAUGGAUUUAAUGUUCACUCUUUUAUAUUUUCUCUGUUUUAUAAGAAUUUUAUUUUGAAAUUUGUUCAUGUUAUACAAAAAAUGUUAUUUUAGAAUUUUUAUGUAAACAACAUUGAUUUAAUAAAUAUUUUGCAUUUAUCUCAAGCAGUAUUUAUUAAAUUUAUAAAUAUAUUUCAUUUUUAAAUGUAUGAAAAAUGUUAAAGUGAUACUUUUUGUAAAACAAAGAGAGUAUGAGAAGUAUUAAUUUAUAGAUGUCACCCAGACUGGAAUUAAAUCCUAUACAAUUUGUUUUUUUUUCUUUUGCUAAAAUUUGGUUCCUAUACAGAUUGUUAGAAGAAGCAUAGAUGAUAUUGCCACUUAAUAUUAAGUGGAAACCCCGUGAAAUAACAAGAUGAGGAAUACAAUUUCAUUAUGAACACUGAAGUGAAUGUUCUGGGAUGAUGCCCAUUGCCCAAAGAAAAACACUAGUGUCGAAAACAAUCUAAUAUAGUAAAAAACUUACAACCGUCUAAGGUUGUGAAUGGCGACAUUUAAUUCGCGUAUUUCACUGCGGUUUUCGAAAAAACGCUUUAAUGUCACCAAUCACAUACUCUCUCUGUUCCUAAAUAAUCUAUGUUUUAAAAUUUUCACACUUAUUAAGAAAACACUUAAAAUUUUGAUAAUAAAUGUAUGAUUUUCUGUGUUUAGCUAUUUCCUAUAAUUUUUAACCAAUCAAAAUUCAGUAAACACAAUUAAUGUUUUUGAAAUUUACAAUUUUCCAUUAUUACAUACAUUGAAAAUGUAAAAUAUGGAUCUUUUAGAAACAAAAUAUUUUUUAAAAACAUGAAUCAUUUAGGAACGGAGGGAGUAUUUCCUAAUUUUUCUUUUGCAGAUUUCCAAAAACGCACACAAAAACGCACACAAAUUUCGAUGUCUCACAAACACACAGUAUUACUACCAAAUCGGCGAACGCACUAAAGAAGGUGUGUUUUCUCAAAAACCGCACACAUUUAUAUAUGUAAAUUAUUUUAACAGCAUAUAUGAUAGUAUAUACUAUAAUUAUAAAGACACGUAAAUACACAGUUAUGAGUGUAUGUUCUUUUUUUUUGUAACAGUACAUAGCUUCUUCAUAUAUUUAUUUUGUAAACAUGUUAACCCUAGUAUAUAAACUGAAAUAAAAACUACUCAAUUAUAACAUCAUAUUAUCUGAAAUGAAGUAUAAAAUUAUUAAAAAAUAUAUUUUACUGCAUGAUAUAUGAUUUGUUUUAUAAAGAAUUAAUAUUUCUCUUUUUUGUAUUUUUAUUUCAAAAGUAUUUUAGUAGUCAAAUUUCAUUAUUGAAUAAUCAUUCAAUACCGUAAAUAUGUAUUGUCACCAAUCAAACACUGUUUUUUACUUAAAACCGUACUUAAAACCGCAGUUAUCUCGUACCGCACUAUAAUUCUGCACGAACCGCAGUUACACCGUCCCGUACUUUAAUUCCAUCCCGCUUUUAUUAUCAAAUCCGCUGUGAGCCUGCGUCAACUCAUCAAAGUCUUUAUAGUAUAUAGAUGUAGCCUACUUUAAAGAAUUAUCAAUUGGGGCUUCUGGGCCUGCUUUCUGUUCCAUUCCGUUUUAUCCGUCCCAUUACAAAAAGGGUUUAAAUCCUAAAUUAGCUAGCUAUACUUCUAGCGGGGAAAAUGAUUUAUUUGGACAAGGAAUAUGUUUUUACAUACACAAACUAAAAGCUGUAUUGAUCUAUCCACAAACUUAACAAACCUAACCACAACUAACUAAGUGUUAAUACCCCAAAAAACUAAUUAACUCAUGUUAGUUUAUACAAGAAAACCAAAAAUCACGAGUGUCGCGCAUGAAGAUCGAGGAUGUCCAAGAUUGAAGUUUUCUAAUUUAUCAGGUUUUAAUCUGUGGCGCAUCUCGGCCACUCUUUUAGUAUGUAGGUUUGUUAUGUAGUUGAUGGUUGUUGUUCAAAAAAAAAAAAUGUAGUCGAUGGUUUGGCAAAAAGUUUCAAUGACCAAGUAGCAACUAGCUUCUUCUUUUUCUUGUGUUUUUAGUUCGUAGCUUUUUUAUACUGUGGCUUUCGAAUGUUACGUACCGCCUCGCCCUGCAGUUAACAGUAAAAAUCUCUACAUAUAACAUAUAUCUAUACGUUUUUAUAACUGUUAAAACCGCACCGCAAUUAAACCGCUUGUCCCGCACUGUUCAACCCGCAGUUACCAUUUGGAGCCUGUGUAUUGUUUCCACUUCCAACGCAAUAGUCUUAUUAGUUCCUUCCUUUUCUACUCUCAACUCAACUAUUCCAAAAUCUAGUUAGAUAAAUUAAAUGAUGAAAUUGUGAACUAAUCGAAAAUUGUUAUCGAAUUGUUUCUGGUCCUUAAUCGACUCGAAGAUAUUGCAUUGGAUUUCCAAAACUUCUAAAGAUGCUUUGAAUUAAGUCACUCUCACAACAAGUUCUCGUGAUAGUUUUCUACCUUUUUUCGGGUCAGAUUUUAGACACGUUUCAAAGACUCUAACUUGAGAAAUUAAUGUUGAUCUUUUUUACAUUGUUGAAAUCUCUAAUACUCCCUUCUUUUCAUUAUAAUACAAUGUUUUAGAAGAUUUUAAUGUUUCAAAAUAGUUUAAGAUGUUUUAAGUUCUCUAUGUUAAUUUUAACUUUAUUAAAAAUUGUUCAAUCAAUUACACUUAAUUUUUUUAAUAAUUGGUUAAAUCAAUUAUUAAUUUAUAUUUUUAACAAUGUUUUCAGAUAAAAGUAAUUCUCCAGAUUUUCUGUGUGUUAAAUAUAAUAUUUUACCAUAUUUUCUCCGUUUUUUAAAGUGUCACUUAGACACAUUUUACGUGGAUUAAGAAAGUAAUAAUAUAUAAUAAUAUUUGUUUAUUUAAUAUAUAAUUAUUUAAAUAAAAAUAAUUUAAAUAAAAAUUUAUUGGUUGUUCGAAAGAGUAAGAAAUAUAUUAUAUAUGGAAGUUUGCAUGAGAAAUAUAGAAUGACAUUUUAUUAAACAAAAAAAUAAUGCUAGAAUGACACAAUAUGAAACAUAGUAAAUAUUAAUUAAUAUGUGGAAUCUUAUUUGUAUAAGUUAACUUUUAGAAAACAUACUUUGUUCGGGAAUAUACCAUUUUAUUUACUUUUAUAAAUGUAUGAGCAUUGACUCUUUCAAUCAAGAAAUAUAAUAAAAUUAUACUAGUUGUUAAAUGAUUCAAUAUAAGGUUUCAUUUCAGUGAUCAAUUCGGAUAUGAAUCUUUUUAUGGAAAAUGUAUGAACAUUACAGCUACUACAUUUUUACCAAAUUAAAAUUCGUACAAAUUCAUUAUAGUGUUAUACUAUGGGUUUGACUGAAAGGUAUUAAUAGAGUGAAAUUUUAUUCUACAUCAAUAAAUACUUUUGACUGAGCUAAAAUGUUAUAAUCAAGUGGGAUAUGAUUUUUUUUGUUAUUUACUCUAUGUAUUGUGCACAAAGAGAAAAUGACACAUUAAAGACGUGACUGAAAGAUAUUAAUAGAGUAAAAUUUAACGUACUCUAAUUGAGUUAAAUGUAAACAAUCAAAUGGGCUAUGAUUAUUUUGUUAAUUACUCUAUGUACUAUGUAUAGAGAGGAACAAGACACACUAAAUGUCACUCUGAAUCAAAUGGACUAUGAUUAUUUUGUUAUUUUGUUAUGUUUUACUGGUUGUUCUAUUCCGAUCUGGCUUCCCAGAUCACCACAAAUUUGAGUAAUAAAAUAGCCGUUUGCCGUCAAAAAAAAAAAAAAAUGUCACUCUGAAUUAUACCAAAGAUAGAUGAUUUUAUUCUAGAUACUUUUCUCUUUAAUUUUUUCAGUUACUCUUAUUACUGUUUAUUUUAUUAUAUUUUUUCUUCAUCUAGAUUUGUAAAAAGAAAUUAAUUGUGCUGAGUUUAACUUUUUUAUUUGUUUUUAAUAUAAUUGUUGCUCUGCAAUAUUUUCAUUUAAUUACUCUAUUUUAUUUAUACUUAUUUACUCUAGUUUUUAUCAGUCAUACCCUAAAUAUAACUCUCAGUUAUACCAAAGUUAUAUAAUUUUAUUUUAGAUAUUUUUCUUUUUCAUUUUUUCACCUUUUUUAUUUUUCUCUUAUUUUCACCUUUUCAUUUUUCUCUCAUUUUUACUUUUACAUUUACUCUCUCCUUUUCUCCUAUAUUUACCGAUCACACUCUACAAAUUUGUUAACUCAUUCAAGUAAGUUUUAAAGCAUAAUAAUAGGCAAUCAUGCUUACCGUUUUGCCGACACAUACUAUUGCAUCAAUGCAACAACACCAAGACUAAAAUCACGGACCGGAGAUAUAAGAGCAAGAGCAUCAGUGAACCCCCCUUAGGGUUCAUGUUUUUAAUUUUUUAUUAUUAAAUUUGUUUCUUUUUUUUAUUUAAAAAAAAAUAGACCAAUCGCAGAUCACCGCACUGUAGUGAUGAACUUUAAGAGAGAGGGUUUCACGCAAAAGAGGCGAGACGAGCCGAGCUCAUUGGUUAUGCUUAUUUUAAUAUAUAUUUUUUUGUAAAACGUGCGAUCCCCUCCCGUGAACCUCCAUUUCUGUGAACCUCCGCUGCGCAUGCUCUAACUCACUCUUUUUUUGCCUUUUUGAUAUGCAAAAACAAUUGGUAUAAGAAAAUGUAAAUUGAAGUGCAUUUUCAAAAGUGCAUUGUUUCGAUUGCUACUAAGAUCCUAUUAUCCUAAUUUAUGUAAAGAAAACGAUAAACUGAUAGUGGAACGCCAAUACGUGUGCAAUGGGACGACGAAUAAUAUAAUAUUAUAUAAUUCUAUAAUAUGCUGAUUUGUGUUGGAUGAAUAAACAAAAUGGUUGCUGAGGUUAGGAAAUUAAAGUAAACUAAAAUGAUUUAUCAAUACUCAAUAUCAUACAAGUCAACGGAGUGAGAGUUCCUCAGUAUUUUAAAAUAGAAAAAAAUUAGAAUUGAUAUUUUCUCUAAUUAUUAAACGUUUGGGCUCAUCACCAAAUUCUCAUAGGAGUCAACCGCACUUGACGGAACGGCGACCAUUACUUUAACGGCAUCAUUCUGUUCAGGAACCGGAAGUAACAAACAGUAACGGUCGCAACAAACCGAUCCAACAUGAACCGGUUUACCAAAACCAAAAUCAAGCCGUUCUAAACCGAGACGUGACCACUGCGACAGUAUCAAGACUCCGACAGAGUCAGGACAAGCUUUCGCCUUGCUCACGGCUUCCACCACCGAUCUGACGUAAUCAUCCCCGACUCGCUCCUUCGCUUGCUUCACGAGCAUCGUCGCGUGACUUAACCCUUUCUCCGUCAGAUCUUUCACGGUGGUUUGCGCGCAUCCGACGACGAAGGCGUUCCCGUAGAACCCAACGGGUAGACUCGGUUUGACUCGGUCUCGAAUGUUGAUGCUGAACAAAAGCUUGAGGCUUUGGUUCGAUGGCAAGUUCAGUGACCUCGCCCAGCUCCGCCAGACAUGUGCGGAGAGCACCUCGAACGAUGUGGACUCGCCGAGUCGACUCGCGAGUUUUUUCAGCUCGGUUAGUCUAUGUUUUUCAAACACGACUGAUGUCGGAACGAGUCGUUCGGCGUUGAAUCGGUUCACGAACCCGCAGAGGUCAGGAACUCGGUUGAACUCAAGGUGGUUUAACGAGUCACGAACCGGAGACGGGUUAAGCAAGUGGCGAUCCCACAAGUGUUUACGUUUUGAGUCGCUCUGACUCAGCGAGUCUCUAGAUAACUCGGCGAACAAGGUGAGAAACUCUGCGCUUCCGAUACCAUCGGAGACGCAGUGGUUAACACCAACGGCUAAAGCUGCGCCACCGUCUCGAAGCCAAGUGAGCUGGACGACGAGAGGCGGAGCACCAGCGAGGACAUCGAUGACGUUGAGGGAGAGAAGCUUUCUCCAGCUAGUCACGUGCCGGAGAGGUUUGUGAAAGUCAAGGCACGUGAGGUGGUCCGAUGCAGCUUCGAGAAAGAGAGCACCUUGGCCACGGCAGUUAACCUCGAGACCUCCGCCGCCUCCACCGUCGGGUCUCUCACGUACGCGGCCGGAGAAAGGGAAGUAAGGAACUAGAGCGCGAGAGAGUGCUGACUUGAGACGAUCCGAGAGAGAAACCGGGUCGGAAACGGGUGAGUAAACGAGGAGGUACUCGAUGGUGAAACGGAGGAAAAGUUGAGAAUCUAAGGCGGAGAGAGACAGAACAGUAGAAGGUGUUUGGUCGGAAGGAGUAAUAACUGUGGCUUCUUUCACAUUAACCAAGGAUCCCAUGGUGCUUUUUCUACGAUGCUCUGUUCUUUUUUCCCUCUGAAAUAAAGAAGGUGGGUCUCUGCGAUGUGUAUUAUAUAUAUAUCUCUCUGCUAUGUACAUUCACGUAGAGAGAAGUAUGGAGACAAAGGGUAAUUUUGUAAAUUGUGUCUUCAUUUUAGACAUGGUAUGUCUUGUGUGUUGUGUUCAUGCAUAUGUACUCUUCUGUGUACGUGUUCCCUUGAUUGUUCUCAUUGAUUUUCAAAUCUACAGACCUUGUUUUUGAUCCGUUGUGGGAUGUUUUACAAGUUACUGUUAGACAUGUUGAUUUUUCAAUUUAGAGCAGUGGAUAAUAAUCCUCCAUAUGUUUAUAUACCUUAUAUUUAAUAUUCGAUAAACAGGAUAACAACCUACUUUUAUGGAUAUUGAAAAGAUUUUGACGAAUAUUUGGUUAAUUUGGGAUAUUUGGUGGUAUUAAAAUUGAUGGUUACUACUGUUUCGGUGGGUGCUCACGCAUAUCUAUACAGCCUAUACAAAUACGUUCAUCGACCAUUGGGAUAAGAUCAUUCACACAACAAUCCAUUCGUUGGGAUAAGAUCAUUCACACCGCGACUAUCCAUUUUCUUUAUCAUGGAUUGACAAGGUUUGAUCCGUAACGAAUUUUACAGUUUAGGAAAACACGAUUUAGUGAAAUCAAACUCUAACAAAAAAGUCGUAAAAGUAAACAUUUAAACCAUUGACUAAAAAACACUUUUUUUGCUAGACAGUCCAUUUAGGAGUAAACAUUUGCAUACACUUAACUUAUCACGUACAAGAACAUAUGUUUCAUUUGUAUAUGACUAUAUGUAAAUGUGUAAGUUUACAUGGCUUCCUGACAUGGCGUAUAAUUUCAAAAUGAUCACAACCAUCUAUACAAUAAGGAUUUAAGACAAAAAUAUCUAAAUAAAUAUAAGGAAAACGUACCUUUUGCUAAAGUUUGGAAACACAUUUUACAAAGAAUAAGUUACAAAUGUCACUAAGCCAAGUUUCUCUACUACUUAGUAGUAAAUUAUUGAUACUGAUUUUUUUUUAAUUAAUUAUGAAAGUCUUUGAAUUGAGGUGUUGCGAUGUGAAAUGAAAAACUAAAACUGAUUGAAAAUUAAAUGUAGAAAACAUACAUCUUGUAUUUAUGUUAACAAUAUGUACAAGUAACUAAAGGUUCGAAUGAUAAAACAUAUCUAAAAGAUAACGCAGAUCAAGCCGAUUAUAUACAAAUCAAAUAGAUAUGUAGAACAAAUGUAAAUCUAACUAAUCAAACUAAUUUACCGAAUCAUGUUCAAUCUAAUUGAGUAUUGAAAAGAUAAAAUAAUGUAAGUCAGAUCUUAAAAAAAAUAGAAGUUCUAGUUAAAUAUAAAAUAAAAAUGAAUCCAUGUGUUAUAACAUAGUUUUUUUGACAAUAAAUUAAACUUAUUGAAUAUUAUUUAUCAUAUCCAACUCAUAUUAACACAUUCAAAAAUUUAUUUCAUUGAAAUAUAGCUAAGUCAGAAAAAUAUAUCAUAUUUAGUGAAGUUAUACAUUUUAUAUGAUACACAAUAACAUGUAUAUCUACUUAUUGCAAAAAAUUAUAUGACAAGUAUGAAUCUGUAAACUAAAUAUAUAGAUAACUUAUGUGAAUGUACGUAUAAAAGAAAAUAUACAUAAUCAUAUAUAUUUUAUAUAUCACUUUAUAAAUUCUUUUUAUAAAUAAAUUUCUACAUAAAAUGAAAAUAUUAAACCAUAUGUCUGAGAGAAUUUGUAUUUAGUUUGAGAAUUAAUGAAAUAAAUUAAAUAAGACUAAUUAUUGGUCCUCAUCAUUCUCCCAACAGAUUUUUUCACUGCAGGCAACAAUUUAAUAUAUAUGCAGAUUUUUAUUAUUUAAUUAUUUAUUUUUGUUCCGCAAUUAAUAUUUUGAAUGGUAAACAAAUGCAAAACAAAAUACAUAAUAAAUUGAUUGUUUUAAUCUUGCAUCUCUCAUGCACCUUUCAAGUAUGUCAAAAUUAACGAAGAUUUUAGCUUCUUUAUUUUGAACUUUAAGUUUUGCCUCUCCAGAGCUUCUAUUUUGCCGUCAGAUCUUAUAUUUGACUUUCAUCCUUAAAUUAACAUUAUUAGAUGGAAAAUAUAUGCUAGUAAUUCAUCAACCCAAAUAUGUCCGUGGCACGUAUGGUAUAUUGUUUGUUUAAAAAAAAAGGGUAUAUUCUUACCAUUAAAUUAAAGUCUGCAUACAACACCUACUUAUUAUACAUGGGAUCGAACUGUUUAUUGACAGUGGUAAUGGAUUGGUCUACGCCUAAUGAUUCAUGUAGCCAAUCUAAACAUAAAAGGUCGCAAAAAAUAACCUAAAAGCAAGAAAAAGUACGAGACUUAUUCGACUAAAUUCUGAGUCCAUGAGCAAAUUACAUUUUAGAAUUGCAAAGGUUUUAAGAGAAAAAAGGUCUAUAAUCAAUCUAGAAAACGUUAUAGCUUUCUUGUUUAUAAUUAUGACGUAUUAAAAGGGAAAAUAAUCGUGAGAAUCAAAUUGGUGGUGGUGGCGGUUUACAGUAUGAUGUGCAUUGUUGUUUGGGCAAUGGCGUCUGUCUACAACAGUGAAAGAUUUGGUGCCAAGAUUCUCAUGGAAUAACUUUAUAGGACAAAGACAAAAAUAUAUUCAUGGAAUAUUAUAUGAAAGAGUAAAUACAUACCCUUCCAUAAUUAUGCAGAUUUUAGCUAGAGAAAAGAAGAUCACAACUUAUUUCCUUGGUUUUCUAAUUACAGUCAUCUUAUAGUAAUAUUUCUUAGAUGGAUAAUAAGAAUUUGUCCUUUGCUAAUUUUCUCUAUUUGUUACCAUAACUAAAAUGUGUUAUUUGACAAAAACAAUAAACAUUUUGAACAUUUAAAUUCCUACUCAUAAUUUUGCAACUAAGAAAAUUAAGCAAUAAUAGUUGGUUUCAAGUGGUGCUUAUAAUUAAUAUUGGCUUCUAAAGUAUUUUUGUUCACAUAUAGCUACAGCUAGGACUGCUAUUGAAAGCAACAAAAGGCAAUACCUCUCGCUUUACCAUGAGCCAUUGGUUCUAGGUUAUAUACAGACAUUAGACUUUAAUUUUCAAAUUUUUGCAAGGGAAUCAAUUUAAAACCAUAUGUUCGUGCACUUUUAACUGAAAUCAUAUAUAUAUGUCCCUGUUCUAAAAAUCUAUUUUUUUAAAAAUUGGUUAAAAAAUAGGGCCGUCUGGGCGCUACGCGUCACUCUUCCGCCCCGAUUUAUGCCAAAUCGGUUAAAAAAAUUGGAUAUCCGAUUUUCUCCGCCUAGACCGCCUAAAUGACCGUCUAGCCGCUUAGGCGGCCGUCUAACCGCCUAAUCUAUUUUUUAUUAUUAUUUAUUAUUUUUGAUAAUAUUUCUAUUUAUUUAUUUGAUCUAAAAUUUUAUAAAUAUCAUUUAUAUUCAUAAUUUUGAUGAAAAUUACACUAUAUUAAGUUUAUAUAUUCUAUUUGUGUGUUUUAUACAAUCUUAAACAUGAAAAUGUAUUAAUGUUAUACACAAUUAAAGAUUAACAUGUUUUAUAACAUAGUAAACAAUCUAAAAAUUCCGUCCCGCAUAGAGAGAGUGCUGACUUGAGACGAUCCGAGAGAGAAACCGGGUCGGAAACGGGUGAGUAAACGAGGAGGUACUCGAUGGUGAAACGAAGGAAAAGUUGAGAAUCUAAGGCGGAGAGAGACAGAACAGUAGAAGGUGUUUGGUCGGAAGGAGUAAUAACUGUGGCUUCUUUCACAUUAACCAAGGAUCCCAUGGUACUUUUUCUACGAUGCUCUGUUCUUUUUCCCUCUGAAAUAAAGAAGGUGGGUCUCUGCGAUAUGUAUUAUAUAUAUCUCUCUGCUAUGUACAUUCACGUGGAGAGAAGUAUGGAGACAAAGGGUAAUUUUGUAAAUUGUGUCUUCUUUUUAGACAUGGUAUGUCUUGUGUGUUGUGUUCAUGCAUAUGUACUCUUCUGUGUACGUGUUCCCUUGAUUGUUCUCAUUGAUUUUCAAAUCUACAAACCUUGUUUUUGAUCCGUUGGUGGGAUGUUUUACAAGUUUUUUUUUUUUUUUUUAAAGGGCUUUGUUUUACAAGUUACUGUUAGACAUGUUGAUUUUUCAAUUUAGAGCAGUGGAUAAUAAUCCUCCAUAUGUUUAUAUACCUUCUAUUUAAUAUUCGAUAAAAAGGAUAACAACCUACUUUUAUGGAUAUUGAAAAGAUUUUGACGAAUAUUUGGUUAAUUUGGGAUAUUUGGUGGUAUUAAAAUUGAUGGUUACUACUGUUCGGUGGGUGCUCACGCAUAUCUAUACAGCCUAUACAAAUACGUUCAUCGACCAUUGGGAUAAGAUCAUUCACACAACAAUCCAUUCGUUGGGAUAAGAUCAUUCACACGACUAUCCAUUUUCUUUAUCAUGGAUUGACAAGGUUUGAUCCGUAACGAAUUUUACAAUUUAGGAAAACACGAUUUAGUGAAAUCAAACUCUAACAAAAAAGUCGUAAAAGUAAACAUUUAAACAAUUGACUAAAAAACACUUUCUUUGCUAGACAGCCCAUUUAGGAGUAACAUUUGCAUACACUUAACUUAUCACGUACAAGAACAUAUGUUUCAUUUGUAUAUGACUAUAUGUAAAUGUGUACAGUUUACAUGGCUUCCUGUCAUGGCGUAUAAUUUCAAAAUGAUCACAACCAUCUGUACAAUAAGGAUUUAAGACAAAAAUAUCUAAAAAAUAUAACGAAAACGUACCUUUUGCUAAAGUUUGGAAACACAUUUUACAAAGAAUAGGUUACAAAUGUCACUAAGCCAAAUUUCUCUACUACUUAGUAGUAAAUUAUUGAUACUGAUUUUUUUAUUAAUUCUGAAAGUCUUUGAAUUGAGGUGUUGCGAUGUGAAAUCAUGAAAGACUAAAACUGAUUGAAAAUUAAAAGUAGAAAACAUACAUCUUGUAUUUAUGUUAACAAUAUGUAAAAGUAACUAAAGGUUCGAAUGAUAAAACAUAUCUAAAAGAUAACGCAGAUCAAGCCGAUUAAAUACAAAUCAAAUAGAUACGUACGUAGAACAAAUGUAAAUCUAACUAAUCAAACUAAUUUACCUAAUCAUGUUCAAUCUAAAUAAAUAUUGAAAAGAAAAAAUAAUGUAAGUCAGAUCUUUAAAAAAAAUAAAAGUUCUAGUUAAAUAUAAAAUAAAAAUGCAUCCAUGUGUUAUAACAUAGUUUUUGACAAUAAAUUAAACUUAUUGAAUAUUAUUUAUCAUAUCCAACUCAUAUUAACACAUUAAAAAUUUAUUUCAUUGAAAUAUAACUAAGUCAGAAAAAUAUAUCUUAUUUAGUGAAGUUAUACAUUUUAUAUGAUACACAAUAACAUGUAUAUCUACUUAUUGCAAAAAAUUAUAUAACAAGUAUGAAUCUGUAAACUAAAUAUAUAGAUAACUUAUGUGAAUGUACGUAUAAAAGAAAAUAUACAUAAUCAUAUAUAUUUUAUAUAUCACUUUAUAAAUUCUUUUUAUAAAUAAAUUUCUACAUAAAAUGAAAAUAUUAAACCAUAUGUCUGAGAGAAUUUGUAUUUAGUUUGAGAAUUAAUGAAAUAAAUUAAAUAAGACUAAUUAUUGGUCCUCAUCAUUCUCCCAACAGAUUUUUUCACUGCAGGCAACAAUUUAAUAUAUAUGCAGAUUUUUAUUAUUUAAUUAUUUAUUUUUGUUCCGCAAUUAAUAUUUUGAAUGGUAAACAAAUGCAAAACAAAAUACAUAAUAAAUUGAUUGUUUUAAUCUUGCAUCUCUCAUGCACCUUUCAAGUAUGUCAAAAUUAACGAAGAUUUUAGCUUCUUUAUUUUGAACUUUAAGUUUUGCCUCUCCAGAGCUUCUAUUUUGCCGUCAGAUCUUAUAUUUGACUUUCAUCCUUAAAUUAACAUUAUUAGAUGGAAAAUAUAUGCUAGUAAUUCAUCAACCCAAAUAUGUCCGUGGCACGUAUGGUAUAUUGUUUGUUUAAAAAAAAAGGGUAUAUUCUUACCAUUAAAUUAAAGUCUGCAUACAACACCUACUUAUUAUACAUGGGAUCGAACUGUUUAUUGACAGUGGUAAUGGAUUGGUCUACGCCUAAUGAUUCAUGUAGCCAAUCUAAACAUAAAAGGUCGCGAAAAAUAACCUAAAAGCAAGAAAAAGUACGAGACUUAUUCGACUAAAUUCUGAGUCCAUGAGCAAAUUACAUUUUAGAAUUGCAAAGGUUUUAAGAGAAAAAAGGUCUAUAAUCAAUCUAGAAAACGUUAUAGCUUUCUUGUUUAUAAUUAUGACGUAUUAAAAGGGAAAAUAAUCGUGAGAAUCAAAUUGGUGGUGGUGGCGGUUUACAGUUUGAUGUGCAUUGUUGUUUGGGCAAUGGCGUCUGUCUACAACAGUGAAAGAUUUGGUGCCAAGAUUCUCAUGGAAUAACUUUAUAGGACAAAGACAAAAAUAUAUUCAUGGAAUAUUAUAUGAAUCUAGUAAAUACUCCCUCCGUUUCACAAUACAUGAUGUUAUUCUUUAGUGCACAAAUAUUAAGAAAUUUAUUUUUCUCUAAAAAAUAGAUUUAAAAAUAUAAUUUAAAAAUCAUCCAACCAAUUACAGAAAUGAUUACAAGAUCUGAUUGGUUACACCGUUUUCAAUAAAGUUCAAAAUAAUAUAAAAAUAUCAAAACAUCAUCUAUUUUGAAACAACAAAAAUCUUCUAAAACAUCAUCUAUUAUGAAACGGAGGGAGUACAUACCCUUCCAUAAUUAUGCAGAUUUUAGCUAGAGAAAAGAAGAUCACAACUUAUUUACUUGGUUUUCUAAUUACAGUCAUCUUAUAGUAAUAUUUCUUAGAUGUAUAAUAAGAAUUUUUCCUUUGCUAAUUUUCUCUAUUUGUUACCAUAACUAAAAUGUGUUAUUUGACAAAAACAAUACACAUUUUGAACACUUAAAUUCCUACACAUAAUUUUGCAGCUAAGAAAAUUAAGCAAUAAUAGUUGGUUUCAAGUGGUGCUUAUAAUUAAUAUUGGCUUCUAAAGUAUUUUUGUUCACAUAUAGCUACAGCUAGGACUGCUAUUGAAAGCAACAAAAGGCAAUACCUCUCGCUUUACCAUGAGCCAUUGGUUACUAGGUUAUAUACAGACAUUAGACUUUAAUUUUCAAAUUUUUGCAAAGGAAUCAAUUUAAAACCAUAUGUACGUGCACUUUUAACUGAAAUCAUAUAUAUAUGUAUAGCUAAUUUUUUGCCCAAAAAAAAUGUAUAGAUAAUUUAAAAGCAAUGCCACUUUUUCGUUAAGUUUUCUUGAAUCACUGUAGUGGUCUUGUCAAUUCUAGCAUGGACCCAUGAAUAUUUAACGUGGUCACUCGUAUAGUAUAUAUAUGAUAUACUUUUCUUUUAAGUCUUUUUUUUUCUUUUAAGUUAUUUUUCUUCUUCUUUUCGGAAUAUGAUAUAAAGCUUCUAUUUCAAUGAUGAUAAAAACAGUGUACUUCGACCCUACAAAUAUUACCUCUUGUAAUAGUCCAAAAUGUUAUGAGUAGAGUCUAAGGUUUAAGGAUCUAUCAAAUCUUAAUACAACGGAGUUUCUAAUGAGAAAAAAUAUGAACUGGAAGCAGAUAUCGAAUAAAAUUUAGAUUAUAAUGAUCCAAAAAAUAUUUGCAAUAUGUCUUAUCAUCAAACUAAAUAAUUUAGAUGGUGGGAUACAUUUCACAUUCCCAUUGAAUGAAAAGAUUAAAGAAGAUGAUUCUGUAAUCCAAAUAAAUCGGUUUUCUAAAUUGUUUUUAUUCUGUUUAUGAAAAGAAAUAAUGAAGAUUUGGGAAGAUUUUGUACCAAGAGAAAAAGGUGAGAAAAUUGCUUUAUGGGGAACAAACUAAAAGGAUGACUUGAUGUGGUAUGCAGAUGUUACGGUAGUCAUGUUUUUUCUUUCUAUCUAAGUCAUCUACGAACUUCAGUCGUAUAUAUAGAGUAGAUCUGUAGAUGCAUGCUGAUAAGUGAAAGGCACUUUUUUGACAAAAAAGGCACUUUCCAUAUAAUGGUAUAUAUGGUAACUGCUUUUACCAUUCGAAACGUAAAUAUACGUCUUGUUCGUGUCGGUGAGACCAAGGACGUGUUAAUAAAUUUUGAGAAGCGACGAUGAAUGAUGAAUGAUGAAACACGAAACAGAAAAAGGUAAAAUUUUAUGCGGUGCACAUGUCGUAUCAAGAGCUGCACUGUGUCUGUAUAACUCUGCUUUUCUUUAUGGAAAACUUUCGAGUUUUAACUACAUAUGAGGUUUAACAAGCUAGAUCUUGAUAUCAUGUUAGGUUUAACUCAACAUUGAAUAAAUAGGUCAAAUUCUUUUUAUGUAUUAUUGUUGAUUUUUUUUUUCAAACUUUUGAUCAGAAUUGCUCAAUCGUCGCUAUCGUUUUCUACUUCAUGAUGUGAUUUGCUCAUUUGAUUUUUGCUGCAGAGACAAGGACACAGAGUUGGAAUAGUAGUCGUUGAUCUGACAAUGAUAACAUCGAUCAACUAUAUAUGUUUUUACUCUUUUUUCAAUAUAUAAUACAACUUAAUUAGUUAUGGAAAAAAAAAACUAAACCAUAAAAUGAAAAAAAUAAUAUUAAAACUAGAUCACGAAAGUAAUGGAAUUUAAGUCUAAAGUCCUCAUUUCUGUACAUCGCCCAUCAUAGAUUUCAAUUAUAUGCAGAUAUCUAACAUUGCAUUUCCUAUAAGUCUUCGCUUAUAAGUUAUAUCCAAUUGCAAGGAAGGUUCCAGUUAGAAUCCAAAAGCAUAUCUCGUAUGUACGGACAUUCACAAUAUCCUUAGUUUUGCAUAAUUUUAGACGUGUAUCACACACCCAUCAGACUCGUUUCGGCUUUGCUCAUUGUUCGCCGAGCUCUACUAUUACAUAUCUCUUCUUUUGGGGAUUGUCUUCACUUCCACAACUUAACAGUUCAUUUACAACCGGGUCUUGUGGUCUGGUGGUAAAAGAACCUCGGCUGAAGUGCCCACCAUCACGAGUUCGAGCCCCGGCCACAACAGAUUUAAUAUGGUUUCCGUUUGGUCUCCAGGACCUUUCUCGCCAGUUCCGGUUGGACGCAGUGGGAUAGUCGGACUAAGUGAGAGGUCCGGAUACCUGGAUUAUAAAAAAAAAAAAACAGUGCAUUUACGAUGAAUACAAGAUUUGUAGAAUUAAAACUUUAAACAUCGAUUAGCGCUUCGCUUAGGAAAUGAACACACUCAUUGAUGAAAAGUGAUAAGAUCUUUUUCUUUCAAAGUAACACGUAAAAGGUCAAAAAUGUAAUCAGAAAUGUGGGGUGCAUAGCAAAAAGAAUCUUAAAGUUCACUGGCACGUAAAUCUGCACUAGGGAGACGAAGUUCAAAUGGAUAUUCUCCGAUGAACAUAGGAAAACAAAUAGGAGAAUAGUAACUAAAUUUAAGUACAUCUUUAUAGCUACCGAAGUAUAUAGAAAAGGUUCACUCCGAUGAACAUAAAAAAAUACAAAAACCUCUUUUGUACAUUUUUUUUUGCCAAACUCAUUUGAACUUAGUUGAUAAAAGAUCCAAUUAAUAUGACGAAAGUCAUAUAAAACAAAGACAAAAUCAUUGUCAUUAAAUGAUUCCUUCUCGUUUUCGAUUGAUCAGUACGUGAUGUCAAAAAGGCGUAGGCCAAGGGGUAAAACAAAUAAUAUUUUUCAUUGUUUUUUUUUGUCAACCAUUGUUAUUUUCGUUAUUCGGAAAUAACUAUUUUCUUAAUUUCCUUGUUCUUUUAUGAGAAAAUAAUAAUAAUUUGGGUGUACCGAAACCACAUUCACAUAUUAGCCAUCUAACAAGUAUUUGGUAGGCCCUUCUCUUGAGCACUGGGCAAGUAGCUACGUCCCUUCUCAUAAAAAUAGAGUGAUACUUCCGAAUUCCGACACUUGCUUUCACAACUUGUUAGUAUCCAUUAGUAUGCUAGACUGUUUGUACAUUAUCUUCAAACAUAUAUAAAGAUUGUUUGCAUUGUUAAUCAUAUUAAGUACUUUGCCAGCUAAAUAAUCAUAUUAAGUACUUUGCAUUUUUGAUAAAAUUCACUUGAUAUUGUCAUUUUUUUUACAAUGUACAAAAUUUAGGUUAUAUACAACUAAAAGAAAAUGGUUGUGGUUUCAAUAGUAUUCAUUUUCUCAAUGAAUUGUUGGUCUAGUUGUAAAAGAGUGCCUAUUAAACACACCGUAAUUUGGGUUCAAUUUUCGUUAGAAAAUAUCAUUUACCUUUUUGAUUAUCAAAAAAUGGUAUUCAUUUUACUUUUUUUGGAACACUAAUGAUAUUCAUUUUACAUUAUAUUAUUUUCAUAUUCUUUCAUGUGUUCAAAUUUCAACUCAAGCUCAAUCGAGAAUAAAGUAAUUAUAUAUUUUCAUCGUAUAUUAUUACUUGAAAUGUUAUCUUAUUUAAAAGUGAGAUUCUUGUCUUAAAACAUGUAAGAUGAUUUAUUUAGGCAAUUUCAAACUGAAUCUCACGAUUAAAUUUAUAAUUAUCAUUGAGACAUUGAUAUACAUGUACGGAUACAAGUAGACUCUACUAUCAUGUUAUUUAGUCUCAUAAAUUCCAUUUCAAAAUCAAUCGGUAAUGAAUAAGCUAGUUCAUGUCUAUAUAUGUAUUACUUUGAGUUUCAUCUUACAUCAGAUACGAGAUUUUUUACCUCUUUUACCUGUUAUCUAUAUUUUUGGCUAUGGAACCCCCCCCCCCCAGGCACCAAAAUGGCAAGUGUGUUGUUAAAAUCAUGUUAACUAACUGCAAUUUCAAUUCCUGUUCGUAGCGCAAUGGAACUUAGUAGACUUUACUUGUAUGAACAUGAUACUUUUUUUACUAAACAUACCAUUUCCGAUUAAUUCUCAAACAAAGAGUUCCAUUGCAAUGGCCUAUGGCUAUAUAUAGCAUAAUACUCUUUUUAAAAAAAAAUUCAGAGAUAACCUUUAUAAGAAGUUUCUAAAAUGAAAUGUAAAUCUAUAUGCAAUGAUUAAAUAUUCAAAGGUUUUGGAGUCUUCACAAAGUAGUUCUUCGGGUUCUCGAAAGUCGUAGAUAUCUGGAUGGCUCACGCAAGUCAUUGGUCGUCCUGAUGCCUAUAUUUGAUAUUAGCUCACUUCCCGGCGCCGUAUUUUCUCGUUUGGUCUCUUGCGGUGUGAGUAGCUUGAUGUACUGUACAUGUGUUUAGAGACUUGCUGGCAAAGCUGGCGGAGAUCCCAACCUGUUUUUUUUGCAUGUUCAUGGUGGCUUAGUCGGGGGUACAGUUCAAUUCCUCGGAGCUGGUAAAGGUAACUUUGAACCUCCUCUUCUAUAUUGUUCGCCUAGUAUUUCAUCGAUAGUACAGUUAUAAGCCUGAUAGUAACAGUUAUAAGCCUCGGAGAGUGCAUCAUAAGUUAGCUACUCCGGAGAUGAGUUAGGAAGUCAUGGCAUCAGAGGCAAUGAGGAGACCUCACAUUUCCAAGGUAUUGGUUGAGAAUGAUAACCGAUUCACAAGGGUUUUAAAAACUGAUUAGUGAAACUUGUCGGGUUUAGUAGGCGGAAGAAGCUAGGAACAUAAUAGAUUGAUUUGAUUUUUUUUGUUUAAACCGGAUUUGUAAUCGGAUCUGAAUUCUCGUUUUUUGGGUUGCAUAAAUUUUAAAUUUCAAUAAACAAAUUGUAAAUCUAUAACACUCGAACAUUAAACCGAAAUUAAUGAAUUGAUUACGACUAUUUGGUUGAAACAUCAUUAUCAGUAAUACUUACAUAAAAUUUUGCCGACAAACAUAUUUUGUGUCUACAGCCGAAGAUAAUGUAGCUAGAAAGAAAUUUUGGACGGGGCUAUUGUGCGAUCUCUGGGUCACACUUACCGUUCCCCAUAAGUUUUCAGAUCCAAAGCUAGGUUUGAUGAUUUCAUAUGAACUGGGUUUGUUGGAUCCGAGUUUUUCUCUGUUAGUCCCGACUGUUUCGGUUACAUUUAGUUAUGCUACUGUGCCCUUUGUUGGUACUUUUGUGGUCUAUGUGUGGUCCUUUACUGCAGUAUGCAGUUGUCUAUUUACUGCAGUAUGCAGGCUUCCUUCCACCUUUGCUCUAAUGGCUUUUGUAAUGAUAUGGCAUUCUCUCCUCCUGUGGCAGCUUGGAGUGAAAGUUCUUAAGUUAUGUAUCCUUCCAGCAAAUCUGGUUUGUUUGGGCUUUAAUUGCCCUCCUUUCUCCUUUAAGGAGUUGUUUUUCCUCCCACAUCUAUCACUUGUCACUAGUGAAAUUGUUAUAGGGAGCAUUGUUUUGAAGAUGGUUCUGUUUGAAGCAGAAGCGAAGAUGUUUAUCGUCUCUCGUUUAGAUGGUGUCAACUAUCUGACCUCUUUGACCAUGGAGGGUUUCAUCCCUCCCCUUUAUUGUUUCGAAGAAGAAUGUCAAUUUGAAGAAGUCUUCUUAUUUGACUGCCCUCUUUCGGAGACAACGGUGGUUGAACUCGUGAUAUCACCUCUAUCUUUAAGCUUUUAUUUGAGUACUUGUUGUUUAAGCUUUCUCAUUUCCUUGUCCAGUGUAUUGGUCUAUGCUUUGGUUUGUUUGGCUCCUUGUAGCCUUAUUGUAUCCUCCAUUGAUGGAGUUGAACUCUUUUAAGUUUCAAUGAAAGUUGUUUGACCAAAAAAAAAAAAAAGAAAUUUUGGACGGGGCUGAAUUAUCGUAUUCAGCAUGAAAAUAACAACGCUGUGACUUUUGUCAUACAUCAUAUGUGAAACCAAGCUAAAACUCCAUUGAAAAUGACGCGAAAGGAAGAUAUUCAUUGAUCUUUUCAUGCUUACAUUUUCAGAACCCUUACCUAUACACACAUAUAAAUACAUAUACAUAUACAUAUAUAUAUAUAUAUAUAAUAUACACAAAAGAUUUUCAUAUACUAAUUUACGCUGAGAAACAAACAAGGAAGUGAGAAAGAUUCGAGUCCUAACAUGUACACCGGUCACCGACCUCUUUAUGAAAUCACGAUCAUAAUUAAUUAGGGUUGACAUGGAUCUAAUUUUUGGAUUUUUAGAGGUAUUUGUUACCUGUCAUGUUUUUUUCCAAAUAAUUGAUUAUUCGAUCCGUAGCUAUCCAAAUAUUUGAUGUUCGGAUAUCUUAAUUUUUUUAAUAUUUUAAUUCGAAACGGAUUUCGAUUGUACAAAUAAAAUAAAAAAUAAAUAAAAAUGAAAAUAAUAUAAAAUAACAAUAUUUAUCACAAAAAAGUUAUUUACUUUUUAAAAUUAUAAUACCUAAAUUAUCGAUUUAAUAAAUAUACUUUUUUGUAAAACUUACAUAAAAUAUAAUAAUUAUAUAAUAUAUGUAUAUAAUUAUUUAAAUAUAUGUAUAUAUGCAUAUAAGAUCAGAUUUCUGUUCCUAAAAAUAUUUCUAGUAUUUAUGAUUUGCUUCGUUUCUUAUUGAUAUUGCAUAUUAGUAUUUGUUUUGUCGGUAGAAUUACGGAUAUUCUGAUUUUUCGGUUCAAAUUGAAACGGUUAAAGAAUCAGAUCAAAAUUACGAAUAUUUUGAUCCAACCUAUUAAUUAAUGCAAAGAGUAGUUGUAGAGUUGAAUCUAUAAAAGAGAGAAUUUGUCUUUAUGUUUGCCAAAGCUUUCAUGUGGCCAAAGAUGGGUCGGCAGAGACAAUUUCACUUGCAUGAAGACAAACUUAUAAUGCACAAAUCUUUCAUUACAUUAUUCAUAAGGAUUUACGCCUGGCCAAGUUUAUUUGCACCAUGUUGAAAAGUUUUUGUAAGUAUUUUUUCUUUUUUUUUUGAACAAACCAAACUUUAAUUACUUCAAACUCUAGAGUUAAGGUUCAUACAAAGCUGAUUUUGCAAGAGCAUCAGCUUCAAGGUUUUUAAGACGAGGAACAUAAUUAAAAAAACUACAGACAAGGGCUUCACGAAGAACAGAGAUAUCAUGAAGGAUCCCCUGAAUUUCAACGAUAUUAUCCUUGGAGAAUAUCACCGAGACGAGCGUUUUCGAGUCAGACCAGAAGGUGACUGAGGUGAGCCCUAGAGAGACUGCAUGUGAAAGUGCAGCUUUAACCGCAAGAGCUUCUGCUAUAAGUAUUUUUUCUUUAGUUUGCAUAAUUGUUUAAUAAAUCGUUUUUUCCGGAAAUUGAAACUUAAACCUACUGGUAUAGAAAUAUUAAUGAACCCUUAGUCAAACUAUUGAACUAAGGAGACUUCCACCUGCAAUAGCUAGUUUACCAAGUAAAUUCGCAAUCUAGUGUAAAAUCAAGGACAAAGAUUUAGUUGACAAUAAUUUAUAUUUGAACAUGGAAAAGAUCAUAUAUCGACGAGUAUAUGCAUAGAAGAAAUAUAAUAUUAGUAUAUUAGUAUAUAUUACUGGAAGAUGCCCCCAGUUAAAUUCAUAGUGAACAUAUAUGUCUGAAAUUAAUGCAAAAUUGUUUUCUUUUAUAAAUGUUUGGGUGGUAGAUUACACAGAUUAGAUGGUGAAAACAUAUUUUAAUUGGGAAUUUGUUGAGGAUAUCGCCGACGACAGAAUUAAACAUAUAUAUUACAAUCUAGGAUGAGCUUAGUUUGCAUCUUCACCCCAACAUUUUAUGUUUUCUUUUCUUGAUGUGAUAAGCAUUGUUUUCUUCUUCUUUUUAUCACAACCCCUCUUUUCGUUAUCUUCAUUCUCUUUCUCGACUUCUUAAAUUAUCUUUUCAACCAUACUAAAAAGGAUUCCUCGCAAACAAUUGAAUCCAAGCCUUUUCACACAAAAAGAAGAAGAGAUAUUCUUUAAAAGUGAAUCUUAUUCCAAAACUCAUAUCUUAUAUUUUUGUUAGUGUUAAUCAAAAAUUAAAUUUAUUAGUCUUCAGUAUUAUAAUACGUAUAAAAUAUUGAUAUAUAUUAGUCGGUUAGUUUUCUUCAUAUAGGUGGUGGAUAUUAUAACUAUAAAGUAAGAUACCAUGUGUUCAGUAUCAAUUUAGGUACAUAUCAUUAUCGUCUUAUUAUUGUUAUACACUAACACAUCUGUUAAUAUCCUAACAACUGAUAAUUAAAUAGCUCUUUCCAAGAUUUUGAUCAAAUUCAUGAGAAAGAACGUCGCCUUAGAAACAUAAACGGGUUUUACUUAAUGUGCCAUAUUACUUAAAUGGGCCUAUAAUAUUACUAUAAAAAGCCAUUUAUCAUAAAUCCAUUUUCCAAAUCACCUUCUUCUUUGGUAUGCUUUGCCUUACUCUUAUGUCUUAACCAGACAAAUCAAAUUUGCUAUCAAAGAAAGUCCACGAGUUGAGUAAAUUGUAUUCUAAAGACUGUUUGCCAUCAAAUUGGUGUCUGAAAACAUCUGUAUUCAACCUUUCUCUUUCGCUACUGUUUCCAAGCUACCGCCUAUGCAAUUUGGCGUGAGAGAAACUCUCGUCGGGUGGGAGAAGCCCCGCAAUCUACAGCUCGCCUCAUCUCUCUCUUAGAUAAACUUAUUCGAAAUAGGAUUUCUUCUUUAAGAAAGACUGUUGGUAAUAGACAUGAGAAGGCCAUGGAGAUAUGGUUUGGAAGUAGAUGAUCCUAGCAUCAUAAAAGUUUGAAUAGGUUUUGAUUCGAAUAGGUUUCUAUUUUGUACAAAGAAGCAUUAGGUUGUACAAAGGUUUUUUGAAGUGAAUAAAUUUAAAAUUCUUUCAAAAAAAAAAAGAAAACAUCUGUAUUUCACGACUACAAAAUAUAAAAUCAAUGAAGUAGAAGUUUACAAAAUAUCUAAUGUAAAAGUUCUAUCAAAUAUAUUAACACUACCUAUCAUUUGACUUAAAACUAUAUUUUCCAAAUUAUUAAGGAUUGGGAAGAAUAUGAUACAACAAAGACACAUGUAAGUAGACAUAAAAAUACAAAAACCUUACAUACUUUUGAUUCCCUGAAAAAUAUGUACACAUCCUCAAAUAAUAUGAUAUAGCCAGAAUGUUUUCAAGGCCCGAGGUUAUUAGAAAACGAUUAUAUGCAAACACCAAAUAGUUUGUUGUAUAUCGAGGAGACCAAGACACAUCUCUAUGGCAAGUACAUCUGUCUUCUUGUCUUUCUCUCCAAAACAGGCUUUGGGCCAUGUAUCGAGUGGUUUAACCACUGUACUCUGAUGAUUUAAGUUUAAUGAAGUUGCGUUCCAAAAAAAAUAAAAAAAGUCUUACGAGAGGAGAAACCAAAUAUCUAAAGAACUUUCGUUGUAAUUUUAAAAGAGUGGUAUCGUUAGAAAAAUACUAAAAGAGUGGAACGAAAUUAGAAAUGGACAGAACAACUGACAAGUUUUAUAGUUAAAUGGACUAGUUAAUCUGUAAAGUAAUUAUUAUGUUGUACCAUUGACAAAUAUGGCUCAUACUCUAUAGUGAAUAGAGAUGACGACUGAGACGCAUGACAUUGACUGUAAAGUUUACUGUUCAUAGAUUUAGAUUACCUUCGUUAAUUACUUUAUUCAUGAUUAUUUUGAUACAUAUAUGCCAUACAAUAGUGUGUUAAUAGUUUAUAACAAAGCAUAUACGAUUGCAUAUAUAUAUAUAUUUUUUUUUUGAGCAACCUACGAUUGCAUAUAUAUAUAUGCUUCACUUAUUUAACGUUAAGGCAUACAAUUUCUUACAAGAACUCCAUGUUAGGGUACAAAAUAUAGCUUAGGAUACUUUUUUGUGAGUGUGAGUGAAAACCGGAACUACACAUACAUUUGCAACGUCUCACAACAAGACACAACCAAAGCAACGUGCAAUGUCUUGUAACUAUCAAAACCAAAAGUUCAAAAGAAAAAGGAAAACUAUCAAAACCAUAUAGACUCACUGAUCAAUUUUUUUUUUGUUCAAAAGACUCACUGAUCUAUUUCUUGGCUACUAUACAGGAUAAAAACAAAUCUAUUUUCACAACUCGAUCACCAACAAUAAUACAUAAAUAAGAAUUAAUAUCUGACAGAGUUAUGUGGAAGACGGUGCAGAAAUGUAGCUAUUAUUACCUUAGUUACGGGUCUUGUCACAAGUAUGCAACGAAAAAUAAACCACAGAUAACAAUCUUCCAUCAAUAAGUACCUCAAGAUCUCACUUAGAAUAGACGUAUACAUAUGUUGUUAUAUAUAUAUUCACAAAGUGAGAUCAAGGGGACUUGCCAAGACCGAACACUUUCUCUUUUUAUGAUAAUAUUGAUCUUCUUUUCUAAUGGUUUGACCGAGUUUUGCAAAACUCGACGAAUAUAAUGAAAGAGACAAACCCUUGCUAUCUGCAUGUUCUUUUUCUUCUUCUAACAAGCAGUCUCCAAGGUUGUUGUGUGACCGAGGUACCUUAAAGGACAAGCUUAGAUCCAAAUCUUUGUCCGAGUUAUUGCAAUCAUCAGACAGUAACAAUCUUUUCUUCUUCAACACAUUCUCCAUUUUUUCUGCCACUAGUGGGUUGUCCCGUUGGUUAGAGCUUAAUGUAGUAGCGAUGUGAGAUUGUGGUUUUGAUGCCGUCCAAGAAUUAGGAUUUGAGGCGAGGCUCUGUCCCCAUGAUUUGUUAAACGUUUUCAUACCUUCAAGAAAACUUCUAUGCAUUCUUGGAACUGCUUCACCUACUCCAUUGUUCGCAUGAGCCGCUUCAUGAGAAUUGAUUCGAAACCAAACUGUACUGUUCUUAUCAUCAAGAAUACUAUUACUAACUCCAUGAAAUCUCUCUCCAGGCUGUGAGCCAAACAGUGUUUGUCUUGUUCUUGUAUUGUCUCGUGCUGUUAGGCCUCUCCAAGGGCUAUGGUAGACAUGUUGUCUAUGGCCGGUACACGAACCGCCGCCGUAUCUAUUAUUGAUCACAUUCCAAAUUAUACAAGAUCAAUUUUAACAUAUAUAGGUAGAAGUUAAUAAGCUAAAGAUUUUGUAAAUACCCUAAACUAGUAGGACUUUGAUCAAAACUUUGUAGCAUUGGAAGUUGGCGAAGGUUGUAUGUGUAACCAGCUCCGUGUUCAAACGAAAAUCUUUGAUCUCCUGAAAUAUUAAGAAAAUAAAAAUAAGAAUUACUCAAGAUCUAUUACAAUUCAGUUUAAAAUUUUAUGAUUUCGUUCAAACGAAACCUUAACUUAAUCAUAACCGAAAAGAAGUGAACAACCUUGAUUUGUGUCAUCGAUUUUCUUACUUCUGUACAUCUAGUAAAAAUAUUAGGUGGAAAUAUGAGUUUCUCAUGAAAAUAUUACUGAUGUAUAGAUAUAUAAUGUAAGUGUAGAUUUAUGUUUGCAAAACCUGAAGGUGGCUCUUGACAUGUCCAAUACUUAGCCCCUUGACGUUCAUUAAUUGAAGAACAAGCUUGGGUGUUGCUCCUGUUCCAACAGAAUCAUUUGAAGAAAUCCGGAAUAAAUAUCAACAAGAGAACCUUAUAUAUGAAAUGAUCUGAGUAUUGAUUUAUAUGUAUACUGAAACUCAACUAUCUGGUCCACGCAAUCUCUCCACAGCUUGAAGAAAGCAAAUAUGGAGUUCAGGUGUCCAUCGCAGCCUUGGAGUCUUUGAGCGGUUGUACGGCCUCACAGAUCCACCACUUUUCUUGAUUUGAUCAUUAUUAUGAUGGUGACUCCCAUUCUCUUCCAGAUAGCUAUUCUUAGAUGGGCUCUGAUCUGCUGAUCUUUCUUCUUCAUCCUCUUCUUCGUCUUUGUUGUCUGUUUUCUUGGAGUUUUCAGAACUUUGGCUACUUGAUCUCAUCUUGUUCUCCAGCUAUUUGGCUGUGUUUUGUGUUGUUUGUUUUGAGGUUUGAACCUUUUUAGUCUAUCUUGGAGUUCUUUGGACAAAGUGCAAUAAAAAAGAUCACAGACUAACACAUAUGUUAGGGAUUUAAGGUUGAAGACUUUUGAAGGUCUAUAUGUGUAUGACUUUUUGGAUGCUUGUAUCCAUGAUUCCCUUUUCCCUAUCUCCAACGCUACGUAUAUAUGGAACAAUAUGUACAUGAUGGCAACGGAUAUUCUAAAUUCUAUUUAAUUUUAAUACAUAGUUUUUUUCUUCAAAACAGUGUUUUCCAUAGUUUUAUACAAUCUUAACCAGGUAAAUAUAGAUCUAGAUUUACACCUCAUGACCAAAAAACAAAAGGUCCUUUGCUUCUUUAAGUAAACAAAAACGUUGGUAACUGUAUCAGUAUCACGUUAGUCACAUAACAAAAGUAAUAGUAUUAUUUUUUAACUCAGUUCCUUCAAUUUUUAAUCUCGUGAGGCUCUAGGAAAGUGAAAAGAAACUCAAAAGUAGAAAUUGUCUAAAUAAUCAUAUUUUUCAUAAUCAUGGUAAACACUAAAUCGUUUCACCUAAAAUAAAUAUGAAACUGUUGGUUAUACCCGUCUGAGUCUAGGUUCAAGAUGACGUGUAUAUAUUUGAAGGUUUACGAACUUUUAUUUCAAAAGAACUGUCAUUGAAUCGUGUGAAAUAUGUUUUCAUUUGAUUUAUUCAUCUUGUUCCAUUCAAACUAGCUUUUGCAAUAUAGGAAGAACGCAACAUUAAUUAGAUAUAUGAAACUUCUUCCAUCGUGUUCAUAAAUUAAAUUGAGUAAAAAGGAAACAAAUACAUAAAAAGGGAUGGUUAGGGGGAUGGGCUCGUGACUUCCAAACCAAAGCUGUGAAACAGAAAAAAGAAGAAACUCAAAAGCAUUACUUCUUCGUUGUGUGUGUGAGAGAGAGAGCAUAGAGAGGAAUCAGACAGAAGUUAAAAGGUGCUUGGCUGUCCUGUCCUCACUGAGAGACACGAUAAGAAAAUAUUGCUGCUUGUUUCUGUCACCAACAAUGAUCACGGAUCUGUCUCCAUCUCCACUACUCUUGCUAUUUCAUAUUAUCUAUAAUUAUCUACACAUGCGUCUCUGUCUCUAUACAUGCAAAAAAUGUACAUGAGUACAUCUCUCUUUUCCAUAUAUGGCCAAUUAUUAUUAUUUUUGGUUAGGAUAUAGAACAUAAUAUUUUAUGCUGAUAAGUCACAUGAAUUCUCCGGCCCGUAUCACUGGACUGAACUUUAGAUUUAAUUACUUGCACUUUUGUACGUCCACACACGCAGCCAAAUUGAUUUAGUUUGGAAUUCGUGAUGAGGUACAAGACCAUCUCCAGUGCUACACUAAAAUUUACUCUAUAUUUCACUCUAAGACCAUCUACAAAGAGUGGGUUGGAGAUGUUCUUAGUACUUAGGACAUCUCCAAUGAAACACUAAAAUUUACUCUAUAUUUCACUCUAAAAUAGAGUAACUCUAUUAUAGAGUUGGAUUUGUUCCAAUGGUUCACUCUAUAAUAGAGUUACUCUAUAAUAGAGUGAAAUAUAGAGUAAUCUUAUUUUUUCACUCUAUAUUUGGAGUAAAAAAACAAGAUUACUCUAUAUUCCACUCUAUUAUAGAGUAACUCUAUUAUAGAGUGAACCAUUAGAGCAAAUCUAAUUCUAUAAUAGAGUUACUCUAUUUUAGAGUGAAAUAUAGAGUAAAUUUUAGUGUUGCAUUGGAGAUGCCCUAAGAUAGAGUAACUCUAUUAUAGAAUUAGAUUUGCUCUAAUGGUUCACUCUAUAAUAGAGUUACUCUAUAAUAGAGUGGAAUAUAGAAUAAUCUUGUUUUUUUACUCCAAAUAUAGAGUAAAAAAAUAAGAUUACUCUAUAUUUCAUUCUAUUAUAGAGUGAACCAUUGGAGCAAAUUCAACUCUAUAAUAGAGUUACUCUAUUUUAGAGUGAAAUAUAGAGUAAAUUUUAGUGUUUCAUUGGAGAUGUCCUAAGUACUAAGAACAUCUCCAACCCACUCUAUUUUCCACUUUAAAAUAGAGUUUGGAGUAAAAAAUGCUCCAAUGGUACUAUAUUUCUUACUCUAUAAUAGAGUAAAAAAUAGGUUUACUCCAAAUAUAGAGUAAUUUUUUUUUUGUUCAUCACUCUAUUUUCUACUCUAAAAUAGAGUACCAUUGGAGCAAACUCAAACUCUAUUAUAGAGUUAUUCUAUUUUAGAGUAAAAAAUAGAGUAAACCAUUGGAGAUGGUCUAAGAAAUAUAUGUCUAGUUAAGUAUCCAAUCAAGUUUUUAACAACAAAAGAUAUCCAAUGAAAGAAAAGAUUUCAUAUCUUCAUGUAAACAUUGAGACUUCGGUUAUUUAAAGUUUUUAGUUGACCUUGUUUUUUUUUUACAAAGUAAUUAGGUAUAUAACACUUUUCACUUUAAUUUUCGAAUAUGCUUUUGUCUUUGUGUGGUCAUUCUCUUAUUUGAAAAAGAGUUACCAAAGACUAGUGUUACGCUCAUUUUAUAAUUUUAAAAGAAGAAAAUUAUCUGAGAAUGAUAUUCUCUAUUUGGUGAAAAAGAUGUAUAAUUAGGUCCUCUCCGUUCACUGUAUAAUAUAUAAUAUAUUCAACAUUGUAUUUGUAUAUUUUCUAACAUAAGCUGAAGAACUUCUUUUGAACUGAAAAGCUUAAGAACUUUUAUUAUAUAAACGAUACGCAAGUGUUGGGUCAAAAUUCAUGAAUGGUGAUUAGGUAUAUAGUAGAAGUCAUAUACAUUAGGUAUUUCUUUCUCUUUUUUUUUCAAAAUAUUUUCGGAAGCCAAAUGUCCAGCCGUAAGCGUAUAUUUUUUUUUUGUGCCAAAAGCAAGCGUAUAUAUUUCGUAGUCGUUAUUAAUUGUGGUUUUUUUUUUUUUGAAACAAAUUAUUAUUAAUUGUGGUAAGAAUUAAAAUUUCCGUACUUAGCUAUGAUAGUUACUUACGUUAAAAUGCCGUUCUUCAUAUCUACCCUAAACAAUCCUAGCUACUUCCAAUCCUCAGACGACAACCAAUGGAUAAUUAAUUAUACGUACGAUCCAACAAAUACCAAAUGCUACGGAAUAUCAUUUACAGCUUUAUAUAAAUGUAUAAGCCGUUAAAUAUUGACCACGGCACUAAUUAAACGGAGGGAGUAUAAACAUGUGUGAACGAAAAAUAAUUCAAUGGGAAAUAAUAAGUUGGAAGGGAGGAACAGAAUAAUGUAUGCAAUUAAUCUAAUUAUUUUUUUCAAAAGCCAAAUAUAUGCAAUUCAACCAAGUGGUGGUAGUCUAGUGGCAAUUUCUUGAAGUUUGGUGUGUACUCUGAAAAACUAAAAUAUCAUAUCACUUGGCCAGUUCGGACUUGGGUUUCGGUCCAAGUAGUUUACAUGGUAGAUCAUAACGGAUGAUCAGUUCUUCCUUUAGUAUUAGUCGGAAGGUAUUCCAGACUCGGGACAGGCAGUGUGAUAGUCAAUCUAUUAUUUAAUACUAAGUGCAUUUCUGCAAAGACCGACCGGAUCAACGCAUAGAGUUUAUGAAAAAAAAAUAUAUAUAUAUAUAUAUAUAAUAUAUGCAAUUUGUACGUAUAUGCAUGGGUUUGCAUGAAAUAGCCACUGCAGCUAUGUAAUCAAUUAGUAUGGCCCAAUAGUUUUGGUAGCCACUAUUAUAUCGUUUUUGUGACAUUUUUUUUUGACAUUAUUAAAGUCGUGUUAAUGUUUUCAAAAAUUUGGAAAGGAAUAAAGUUUGGACCUCGUCUGGGGAGAAGGCAACUUCGUGGAACGUAGAUUGGUUGUCAAAUUAAAAAAGAUGGGAAUUUCAUUUCAUAUGCGUGAAAAUCAAUAUUCAAUUGUGGGAGUAUAUUUCCUUUUGUGACAAGUUUCACAGGCUUCCAAAUUAAAACCAAUUGACAGUAAAUAGAGUGAUUCAAAUCUCUUAUAUAUUAUUCAAGUUUUUUAUAUAUUUCUAACGUGAGAUUUUCUCUUCAACACCGUUCCUCAAAAUGAUGAUAAAUAUAAUUAUUAAUCUCGUAAAAUUCAUCAUACCCCUCCGAGAGAAUUUUUUUAUUUUCUAAUAAUCUCGAAAUAACUGAAUCUUCUAUAUGCCAUCACUUAAUGGGUUGAUCGGACCACUAUCUGAACCAGAUUAAAAGGUCAGGGUGUGGAUCCGCUCUGAUACGAUGACAAAGGUACAUGAUAUUGAUCGAAGAAAAUGUCGAGUUGCAGGGAUUGCUUUUGCCGCGAUCGCGAUAAGUUUGGAAACUGAAGCCCGUUAGUUUUACAGCACUUGUGAGCUGAAGAGAUGAUGAGACGAGAUUAGUGUGACCUAUUGGCGGACUGAGUUGGUGCUUAUGAUCAUGGUAAUAUGUUAAGCCCAUUGCGUUUCUUAACCUCAUUCUCCAAUCCAAGUGUCCUGAUUCUUUAUCUGCAACAUCAAGAAGAAGAAAUUUGCUUCCCUUUAUAUCAUCACAAAGAAUCUGAGCCAACAUGAGACAUUAUGGCUUAUGACAAGUACGCAGUGUAAAUGUUCAAAAGAGUGGUCCAUUUGGAGCAUAUUAAAAGAUCAAGAUCAUGGUGAAAGGCUCAUUUUCUUCACAGUAGCUAAGAAGGUUUACACAAAGUUCUUGUUGUUCAUCUUUGACAUCAUUUCGAUCUAAAAAUGUUGGGAACCGAAAAAGGUUAAUGAAUGAAGCACUACAAGAAAAAGAGGUUUUUAUAGCGGAGUAGGAUAGCGUUUUUUUCGUUUCUGCUAUGGUUAAUAUGUAAGUGGGUUUUAUAUAGCGGUUAUAAAAUUGUAAACGCUAUCUUUAGUUGGGCCGAAUUUUAAUAGUCAUUUUACAUAGCACUUUAGUGCGGAAGCGCUACGAAUAAGUUAGGCGGACAAAAUUUUCAUUUGCCCGGGCUUACCAAUUUCACUUAAUUCAUUUUUUUCUUUUUCGGUUCUUCCCUCUCUCUAUCUCCCCUGAGUUCUCAUCUCCCCUCUAUCUCUUCGUCUCAAUUAUUUUCCCGAUUGGUCUGACUCUAAAAAAUUAAUCUCUUCUAAUAACACAUUAAUCUCCUAUUUCUAUCUCGUCGUAAUGGUUUUCCAGAAUCUCUAAAACCCAACAACUGUUCUUCGAUUCUGAAUCGUAGGUACAAUCUCGUCUAAUAUUUGUAUUUUUUUUUUUGUUUCUGAUAAACCAAUCGUUUAUUCCUAUUUAACUGGUGGCUGAUUUAGGGUUGCAUGUCCAAUUGAUUCGGUCUUUUACUCUUUUGCAGGGAGCUUUAGAUUCAGAUCUUCCAAGAAAGGUAUCUGUCGUGUAUUUUUUUAGGUUUGGCUAUAGCUUUUGAUUUUGUUUCAAUUGAAUUAUAUCAUUGCUUUUAUUUUUCAGGUCGUUUAAAUCAAAAUUGAAGACAUUUUUAUCAGGUAAAACCAAACCGAUUUAUACUGAUUCUUCUAUAAGUUGUCUUUGUCUGUUCUUGAGGCAUAAUAAAGUUAGUGUUUUAUAUACAUUUGGUCGGAGCUGUUGUGCGAUGGAUAAAGCUUGGGUCUGGUUACCAAGGUAUAAAUGUUACUGUGUUUUGCUUAUAUUUUUUUUAUUUCAUUUACGAAAUUGUGCUUCUUAAUUAAUUUUCAUUUGUGUGCAUCUGACAGGAAUAGUCUCGAGUAUGAGCAAGGUGCAACUGAGUUUGUUUUUUCGUCAUCAAGACAAUUGGGUGAUCUAGUUGAAAUGUUCUGCCCUUGCGUUGAUUGCCGCAAUGUCUGCCAUCAAUCAAGAGAGACAGUUUUUGAGCAUCUCGUCAUCAGAGGGAUGGAUCAGAAGUACAAGAGAUGUAAAUAUUGGAGUAAGCACGGGGAUAUAAGGCCAGAUAAGACAGCUGAUGUUCAGACGUCUGAAAAUGAGGCUUAUGAGUUGAUGAGGACAGCUUUUAUAGCGAGCAAUGGCAAGACACCAUUUGAGAAGCAGAAUUCAGAGGAUUUUGAUGGUAUUGAGAGGCCAGAAGAGGACGAGUUUAGGAAGAAGUUAGAUGAUGCCGAGACUCCACUGUACCCGACAUGUCAGAAAUACACAAAGGUUGCUGCUAUCAUGGGUCUUUACCGUAUAAAAGUCAAGAGUGGGAUGUCAGAGAGCUAUUUCGACCAGCUAAUGACAUUAGUUCAUGACAUGCUACCUCCAGAUAAUGUUCUGCCUAAGUCUACGGCUGAGAUGAAGAAGUUCUUAAAGGUGUUUGGUUUUGGUUAUGAUGUCAUCCACGCUUGCAAAAAUGAUUGUAUCCUUUAUAGGAAACAGUAUGCGGAGUUAGUUUGCUGUCCAAGAUGUAGUGAAUCAAGAUGGGAAAGAGAUAAGCACACUGGUGAGGAGAAGAAAGGAGUUCCAUGUAAGGUGCUUAGGUAUUUUCCCAUAAAAGAGAGAUUCAAGAGGAUGUUUAGAUCGAAACGGUUGGCUGAGGAUUUGUGUUGGCACUUCAACAAUGCAACUGAAGAUGGAUCUAUGCGGCAUCCUGUGGAUUCUUUGACUUGGGUUCAGGCAAACGAUAAGUGGCCGGAAUUUGCUGCUGAAGCAAGAAACCUGAGACUAGGUCUUUCUACUGAUGGGAUGAAUCCAUUCUCGAUCCAAAACACCAAGUACAGCACGUGGCCGGUUCUCCUAGUUAACUACAAUAUGGCGCCAACUCAGUGCAUGAAAGCGGAGAACAUUAUGUUGACGAUGUUGAUACCUGGACCAACAGCACCUAGCAACAACAUUGACGUGUAUCUACAGCCCCUGAUAGAGGACCUCAAGGACUUGUGGACCGAAGGUAUUGAAGUUUAUGAUGCCUUUAAGAAGGAGAGUUUUAAUUUAAGAGCUAUGCUUCUGUGGAGUAUCACAGACUACCCAGCUUUAGGGACAUUAGCUGGAUGCAAAGUUAAGGGGAAGCAAGCGUGUAUUGUAUGUGGGAAGGAGACACCGCAUAGAUGGCUUAAGUUUAGUAGGAAACAUGUAUAUAUGGGCAACAGGAAGCGACUGAUGCCUGGUCAUCCCUACAGACGUAGAAAGGGUUGGUUUGACAACACAGUGGAGUCUGGUGUUUCAAAGAGGAUUCAGAGUGGGAAAGAAAUAUUUGACAGCCUUAGAGGAUUUAGAAAUGAUUUUGGAAGACCAUUAGCUAAAAAGGGGAAGCGUAAAAGGGCUGAAGCAGAAGAUGACGAUGAUGAAGCUGCAACAGCUGAAGAAAUCGAAGAAGAUGAUGAUUUAUGGAGGUGGAAAAAAAAGUCUAUCUUCUUUGACUUACCAUAUUGGAAGGUAUACGUUCUGCUUUACAAUUAAUUUUAUCUUUCUGAAUUUAUGUAAGCUAAUUAAAUUGUUUCUGAUAAUUAACUCUACAUAAUGUUUGCAGGAAAUGCCUGUCAGGCAUAACAUAGAUGUUAUGCACGUCGAGAAGAACGUCUCAGACGCACUACUAUCUAUUAUUAUGAAUAAUGCAAAAUCAAAGGAUGGGUUGAAAGCAAGAAAAGAUUUAGAAGACAUGGGAAUCAGGAGCAACUUACAUCCAGAGAAGCGUGGGAAGAGAACUUAUUUGCCUCCAGCUGCAUUCUGGCUUUCCAAGGAAGAGAAAAAAAAAUUCUGUAGACGGCUAUCCAAGUUUAGAGGCCCCGAUGGAUAUUGUGCAAAUAUAUCCAAUUGUGUCUCGUUGGAUCCUCCCAAUAUCGGCAGCAUGAAGUCACAUGACCAUCACGUUCUUUUGCAGAACCUUUUUCCUGUGGCAUUGAGAGGUUUAUUGCCUAAAGGACCUCGGAUAGCUGUCAAUCGUAUCUGCAACUACUUCAACAGACUUUGCCAACGAGUUAUUGAUCCAGAGAAGCUACUGACUCUAGAAUCUGAGAUUGUAGAAACAAUGUGCCAGUUGGAGAGAUUUUUUCCACCAUCACUCUUCGACAUUAUGUUUCACCUUCCUCUCCAUCUAGCUAAAGAAGCACGCUUGGGUGGCCCUGUCCACUUCAGAUGGAUGUAUCCGUUUGAGAGGUAAUUUUUUUUUUGUCUUUGUCGUAUACUUUCAAUAAAUAGACUAACUUAUAUGUUCUGGUAUGUAGAUAUAUGAAGACUCUAAAAGCUUAUGUCAAGAAUUUUGCACGACCCGAAGCUUGUAUGGCUGAGGGAUAUUUGUCUAGUGAAUGCAUUGCGUUUUGUAUGGAGUUCCUUCGAAAAUCUGUUCCAGUCCAAGAAGCAAUUAAUAGAAAUGAAGAUAUUGAGGCAAUUCAGAAUGUCCUUGAAGGAAGACCAUUACAGAAAGCUACAGAAGUAACCCUCACAGAUAAGGAGAGAGAUAUAGCUCAUCGUUAUAUCCUCAUGAAUACAGCAGUCAUGGAUCCGUAUAUUGGGUAAGUAAAACAGCAGUUAGAUAUAUAAAGUUGUUCUAUUUUAUACAUCGUCUAACUUAAAGAAAGCAGGUUGCAUUUGGAAGAACUGCAAGCUACUGAUGAAAGAUGCGCACAAAAUGAAACUCUACUGUGGAAAUAUCACACAGAAAGGUUUCCCCAGUGGAUAAAAGAUAAGGUAAAUGAGCUUAUUAUAUGCUUUAAUCUUUACAUUUUUGUAUGAUUAUUAACUCUGCUACACGUUUCAUGUUAAUUAGAUACCUAAUAACUCGAAGGAACAUUCGAAAAGGCUGAGAUGGCUUGCUUUUGGACCAAGGAAUAUUGCUCACACAUACAAGGGAUACGUGGUGAAUGGACAUCGAUACCAUUGUGAUGAUGUAAAGCGCAACACACAGAAUAGUGGGGUUGCAUAUGAAGCAUUUUCGAUGUGUCGAGCUAGCGCUAAAGAUUCUAAGCAAAUGGCGGACAUGGUAGCUUACUAUGGAGUGAUAAAGGAGAUCAUAUUGGUGGACUACCACAUGUUCCAAGUUCCCCUGUUUAAGUGUAGUUGGGCUCACAAAGGGAAAGGAGUUAAAGAGGAAGAAGGGUUCACACUUGUCAAUCUUCAUAUGAACCAGUCAUCAUUUGCAAACGAUCCAUACAUUCUGCCAUCGCAAGCUAAACAGGUCUUCUAUUCUAGAGAAGAUGAAAGCUCACCUUGGUAUGUUGUUAUGCGGGCACCACCAAGAGGAUACCAUGAGUUAGAGACAGAAGAGAAGAUCGAUUUUGAACCAUCAGUCCAGCCAAUUGAAGAUAUAGGAUAUCAAUCUGAUGAUGAGAGUUUCUGUGUUAGGGAAGACUGUGAAGGUGUCCUUGUUGAUGUUUAGAUACUAAAAAUUCUAGUUUUGUUUCAGGUUCUCUGCAAUGAUGAAAUCUCAAGCUGUUACUGAGCAAAACCGUCGCAGUAAGCGUCAAGCAGGUGUUGAUGCGAGUCCUGUCGGGUCAGAGGUUCAUAAGAAACAAAAGAAGAAUGCUCCGAAGGUUAAUGAAAGAGAAGAGAGUGCUGCUAAAGAAUCGACUGAGGAAGAGGCGCAAGACGUAGAAGUGGAUCAACAUUCACCAACUGAAGUUGAAGAACCCAUCCCUGCUUCUAGCAAUGGAGUGUCCAACACCGAUGACACUCAGACACAGCAAUCCGAGAUCAAAACGAGGAAGACAAGGGGUCUAACUAAAAUGCGCAGAGUGGCCAAAAAUGCAGAGGACAAGGUAGAUGUAGAGUUCAACUCCAUAGGUGAGCAUGUCGGUAGUGGAUCAGUGACACUCUCAUCCUUUCUUGGUCCUCUUGUGAGGGAGCAUGUGCCAGUAUUGCUAGAUGACUGGAGACACGUCGAAGAAACAACAAAAGACGCUUUAUGGGAAGAGAUUCAGGUAAUUUUUAUAAGUUUUUUCGCUGCAGUACUAGUUUAAACUAUUUUAGUGUUUAACAUUUCAAUAUUUGACAGGGGAGGUUCAACUUGACAGAGGAAUGGCAAAAAGAUGCAGUCUUUAAGCAGAUGGGUUGCUUGUGGAGGGCCUCGAAAUCUAGGCUGACUUCUAUAGUCCGUUCUAUUAAAAACAAGGCUCAGAUACAGAAAAUGAAGCCUAGCAACAUCCAAUCUUCUUCUGCUUGGAACAGUUGGGUGAAAGCUAGGUGCACCAAAGAUUUUAAGGUUAAAGUUAAUGAUUCUUGAUUACUUAUACGAUUUAUUUUAGAUAAAAGUUAUGGUAUCUGAUGGUUGUGUUAAUAGGUACAAAGUGAUAAAUACAGGAGACUUAGGAAGAUUCAAAUUCCGCACACAACAAGCCGAAAAGGCAUGAGUCGCCUAGCUCAUGAGAUGGUAUGUUUGUCUAAUUCUUUGAAUUUGGGAGAAAAGUAAUUACUUUAUUUGCACCUAAGAAAGUUACAAGAACUUUUUUUGAUCGAACUUGUAGAAAAGAAACAGCGAUGAUCCUAAGAAAGUUACUAGAACUAAGGUUUGGGUAGCAGGACAUACGUAUUCAGAUGGGAGACCCGUGAAUGAAGCACACGCUGAAACUAUUGUAAGUAUAUUAUGAAUUCUUAUUAGUUAAGGAUCAAGACUAUUUCGUAAUGUCUUUGUUUUUUAUUUGCAGGAAAAGAUUAAGACAAUUGACAGUGAAAUAGAUUCUAACUCCUCGGAUAACAUUGGUGAAGAUGCUGUGAGUCAAGUUCUCGGAAAAGAGAGACCAGGAAGAGUUAGGGGGAUGGGCAGAGGAGCCACUAUUACGAAGAUGGCUUACUUACAAGCUAGAGACAAACAUGUCCAGAAGCUUGAAGCUACUCAAGCGGAAUUAAUUACCAAGCUUGAAAAGUUGCAAAAUGUUGUUAUUGACUUAGCUGGCAAAAAGGUAACUUUCUUAUACACUUGUCCAAUUAAUUGUACUUGGUGUUUCAAUAUGACGCUUACUUGUUUUUUUGUUGUUUUAAGACACAUAAAGAUGAUGUUUCUAGUUCUGAAAGAAGCGAUGGUAGCAAGAGAGGAAUAAGGUGCCAGAUACUGGAUUGGAUUUCGACUGAUGAUGUGGUUGUAGGUGAAGGAGAAUACUACUCAAGUGAACCCACAUAUAAGAUUGGUCGAAUUCCUCUGGGUCCUAAUGCGGCCGCUGUAAUUGUCAACUCUGUAGCAGUCGAAGAUGCAUGUGUCUGGAGACCAACUACAAGUAUUGGAACACUUGCUGAAGCUGUAGGAGUUAAAAUUGCAUGGCCAUCCGACAAGUUAAUAUUGGACGAUGUUAUUGACUUCUCAAAACAUGCUAACACUGUCGGGUCAGAGGUAAACUGAAAUUUCUUGUGUUAUUUUCAAAUUCACAUUGAAAAUCGAUUACUAAUAGAAUACAUUUGGGAUGAUUAUUAGACUAUGGAUGCAUCAGUAGGAAGGGUACAAAUAUUUGAUUACUGGAAUGUAGAAGAUGAGUUGAUUGCUGAGGGUGUACUGGUGUCAACUGAAGCUAACCAAUUGGUGAACGAUAUUCCGCUUGGACCGAAUGCUGCAGUUAUAAAAGUUGAAGUAGUUGUUAAAGAUUCUGCUUUCUUAUGGAGACCAGCGCCUGGAAUGUCAAACAUGGGUGAUGCACUACAUCAGAUCAUUGCUUGGCCAAUUGAUAGGGCACGACUAUCUGAUACAACUGCUGAAUCAACCAAGAAACCUAACGUGGUAAGCUUCAGAUGCCAGUUAAUUUGUCAUCGAUAUGUUGCAAUUCUGUGAUGUUAUUGUGAUUGUGUUGUGUUGAUCUUUUUUUUUUUGGUCUUUCAGAGUACUAGUAACAGCACUGGUAGUAGCAACAAAGUUGGUAGACAGAAGUGUGCUCUCUUGGACUGUCAUAACUCUGGACAGACAGUAGCUUGGGGUCGUGUGUUUUCAACAGAUCCAGCAGACAAGGUUCAUUUCAUCCCUUUAGGUCCCAAUGCUUCUAAGGUCAUGGUAGAGGUUUCCAAGAUGGAUGAUGCACGAGUGUGGAGACCAAACUCUGAAAUUGAAGUCAUAGGUGAUGCAGUAGGGAGCACAGUGGCGUGGCCUACUGAUAAGGUUGUUUUCAUAUGAGUGAUGAGUUGUGAAAUUGAGAACUUUCAAUUGUCUUAGUACUUUGUCAUAAUUAUGAGUUUCAUGUAAUGUUGAACUUAAAAUGAGUGUAUCUUUAUUAUAAUAAAAUUUCUAUUUCUAAAUCUGAAAUUUAUGUUUCUAAAAAUAGUUAAAAAUAUUUAUAUAUAUAAAAUAUAUAUAAUUAUAAAUAACGAAACGAAGCUAAUUUAAAAGAGUAUAGAAACAGUAGCACUUAUAUAACUGCUAUGGUAAUAUUAACUAUGGCUUUUUAAAACCGCUAUUAAAUAAUAUUUGAUCGCGUUAAUAAAGCGCUAUUAUAUAAUAUAUAAUAGCAUUAAUAACCCGCUAUUGUAUAUCGGAAUACGAUAGCAGCGCGAAAAAGCGCUAUCUAAAGUCUUCGACCUAUUAUAACGGGCGAUGACAUAGCGCUUGCAAUAUCGCUAUGGUAUCUAUAGAUAGCGGUUUUCAGCCGCUAAGAAAACCCUUUUUUCUUGUAGUGAAGUCACACACAUUUGUAGUUGAAGAAAUAAUUAGCUAAUAUUUAAAGGGAUAUGACCAUAUCGGUAAUUAGUUUUAAGUUUGAAGUCCAUGAUAAGCCGAAAUUUAACAAAAAUGAUAAGGUUUACUAAUGGUCACAAGUACAACAACCGUAACAAAUAUGAAGAAACCGGAGAACUACCAUACCUUAUUCCUGAAGUGGGUUUCUGUACUGUCCUUCCAGUCGUUAGCGCAAGUAGUAGCAAGGGAAGCAACAUCUAUCUCCACUCCACAUACUACGGUUCUAAAAUGUAACUCUUAUGCCACAACUAAAAUUUUUUCAGAUUUAUCAUUUUCUGAUGCAUUGAUAAUGUAGAUUCUAGGCAUCUUUGAAAAUAACUAGUAUUUGAUAUAUGCAUCAACAUGGGUGAGUGUUUGUUUUAACUGAAUAGAUAUAUGCAAUUUUUCACAACAAAAAAUUGUAAUAAUUGUACAAACAAACGUUAUAUAGGUAUUUGUUCAAUUUGUAAUAUAUAACAUUUAUGAUAGAUCAACAGUUUUUAGUUGUUUGUAAUUUGUUGGUUGCUCAUAUUGUGAUUCAAUAUUAAAAUAAUUAAAAUAAUAUGUUAUAUAAUCCAUUCGUAAAUUAGUAACUUUUAACUACAAAAACCAUUUUUGAUGAAUUUAUUUAUAAAUUAAAACACCAAUUAAUAUGUUUAUGUAUAUUAAUAAAACUAUCUUUUCAAAAUAGAAUAUUUUGUCAAAUAAAAUGUCUUUUUUAAUAAGAUAGAUAUAUAUGUCUAUACGUUUUUCAUAUAGCCAAAUGAAUUUCACUUUUAUGUUUAUUUUUGAGGAAUAUAUAUUAAAAUUUAUUUGUUGUAUUCUUAUAAUUCAAAUAUAUGUGUGAAUUAUAUUAAUCAUCAAAUUAUUUAACAUAUAUUUAAAUAAUAAUUAUAUAUAUUUUAAUAAAACAUUGAUAGUUCAUAUUUUGUAUGUAAAAUGAAAUAGUAAAUAUAUAAAGAUAUAACAUUUAAAGUUUGUAUGUCACAUUUAAAAUAAAUAUGUUUAAUUUAUUGUAUGGUUAGAGAAUAAUCUAAUGAUUUCUAGUUAUUUAAUUAGUAGUUAUUAAUUUAAUGAUACAGUUUGUAAUUAUUAAGAGCAUUUUCAACCACAUUAUAUAUUUUAUUUUCAAAUAGAAUGAAAAAUAGAAUAAUGAACAAAAAUUAAAGCAUUAUUCUAUAAAUUAAAUAUUAUUUUUUUCUUGUUCAGUACUCAAUUUCUCCUAUUUUUAGAGUGAAAUAUGGAGCUGAGUUCAAGAUGCUCUAAGAUGAAAAAAUAUUAUUUAUAAAAAGUGUUUAUGUUUUAAUAGAAUAGAUUUGACGAUGCAACCAGAAAUUUAAAACAAGAUCCCCUUAACGAUGUUCUUUCAUAAUGGGUAUGUUCUAUAGUUUGAUAUGUAUAUAAUAUGGUUGCGUCAUAGUGUACAAAAUGAAAUUAAUUUUCUUUUGUUUUUGAUUCUUUUUCUUGUCUACUGAUCAGAGCUCCGGUUUAAUGGGACGCCAAAAUCCCUUCCGCCCAAUCAAAAACCGAUCCUGGUAUAUUUUGGUUGACCAAUGAAGCGAACCAAGUAUAGAUUCAAGCUCCUUUAUUGUUUCCAUGGUGUCUUGCACCACAAGGUAUCCACCUGGUCUCAACACCCUAUCAAUCUCAGCUACCACUUGUACAAUCCCACACCUGAAAACAUCAUCAACAAAAUGGUCUGUGUUAAGCUACACAGUGACCAAUAAUAUUUCAAACCGAACCAAACUAGUAUAUGCUUACCUUUGUGUGAUAUCUCCAAGGUAAGAACUAGAAUGCAAGAGAUCGUAUGUUCUAGGGUAAGUGUUCAAGGACUCGCACCAAUCGUGGUAAACUCCGAUCAAUCCUCGAUCAAAAACAACUGAGAGAGUGUCAGGUUUAUCCACAGGAACAACAUUCAUCACCCAGAGAGGUCGGUUUAUAAGUGCAGCAGCAAACCUAUCACACCACAACAUAUAACUCUGUCAACUUCUAGUUUUGUAAUAAAAGCAGGAAUCUGGUUUUUAAGUCUCAGAGAAAUGUAAACACACCCGCCAAAACCAGCAUUCAUGUCCAUCACAUUCCGCACACUCGACCAGUUUACAGCCAAACGUUCAAGAUAGAUGUCAGAGACAAUCUCUGACCACUUCUCUGUAUCUUUCGUGAAUGUUUCGGCGUCAACCGAAACGCUUUGAGGCUUUACACUCACAAGGCGUUUAGGCCAUAGCUCAGGCCACUUCUGGACACCUCCACUUGGUAAUUUAGAAAUGCAUUGGCGGAGAGGAGCAUACCUAAGAUUAAAAAAAAAAUCAAAAAGGAUAUGAAAGAGUGAACCUACACAUAUACUUUUUUAUGAGAAUGUGAUAUGAGUUUUUUAUACCAAGAAGCAUUCACUUCCUCUGUAGCGCAAAGAGGUGGUUCUUGCGUGCUGCGUUUCUUAUAGCAAGAUUCUGAAGUUGGCUUUUGAUAUAUCACGAGUCCGAUUCCUGAGGAGUCAACCGUCUUUGCCACCACCUUCCAGCAAAUGGAUUUAGUCAGAGAAACCAUUGCUGCAAAAACAGAAACAUAAAGAUCAAGAUUCAAGACCAACGUUGUAAUAACAAAAUCAAGAACAUGAUUGUUACCAACCAGUCCAGAUCUUGCUAUCUCUGUCAUUGUCUCGAUAGACCGGUGUUGCGGACCAUAUGAAGAAACCUCCUGGCCUGAGUACCCUGUUCAGCUCCAACAAUGGUUUCCCACCUAACAAAUCAAACAUAAAACAUCAUGGAACCUUAAACCUUAAGCGCUAAAAGAGAGAAAACGUACCAUCAGCAUCCCAAUGGACUCUGCACCGAGCACAAUGGAUAAGAUCAAAUGCAUUGGUCGGGAAAGUAAGCUGUUGUGUCCCAAUGACAGAUAGUGUAGCAGGUAUUCCUCGUUCUAACGCAAACUGAAUCUGAGCUUCGUGUUCGUCUUUAGGGGCAAACGACAUUGUAAUGACAUCUUUGUCUAGUAAGAACCCGCCAAAGCUAGCGACACCACAGCCAACAUCUAACACUACCCUUAUGUUUUUGCCCCAUUUGAUAACAGGUAACGCCUGAGGAGUGUGAAAUGGAUUUAACACAAGUAUGUAUAUGCUUUUGAUUUAGACAAAGAGGGGAAAGAAGAGGAAAAAAAGAGUGGUGACCUUUUCGAUGAACUCAACGUAGUGAGUAACACCGUAUUUGAACUGAGUACCUCCUCCGGGAAAAACUAGAAACUCGCCCUCUUUUUUAACCCAGUUUUGUUCCUUCUUGUAUUCAACAAGCUUGGGGUGGGGAGCAUUGUUAUACCAUACCUACAAAUUAAAGAGGAAACAGUUAAAUAAAAUGAUUCACUAGCACAAGAUCAUGCAGUAAAUUACUCAAUUCAUGUUGAACUAAUACGACUUCUUCGCUUGGUACUAAAAAUAAGUUUGUUCAUAAGCCUUAAACUCUGAAUCCAUCAGACUCUAAAAAAAGAAUUAUGUUCUAUGCUUUAGGCACUAAGAGCAUCUCCAAUAUACCACUCCAUUUUUUAACUUUAAAAUGGAGUAGAGUUUACUCCAACCCUACUCCAUUUUGGAGUGGAAAAUGCUGUAAACUGAAGACAAACUCAAACGGUUACUUGCCGAACUGAACUAAAUCAGCUAUCUUCAGAUCAAAAGCUAUAAAAUAAUUACAACUUCAAUAAAAUUACUGAACUCAUGUGGAACUAAUACAACUCCUUCUCUGCAUUUUCAGGUGAUAAAGCUUUCAAAUAUGAAUCAAUCAGACUCUUGAAACGGAUCUCUUUCCUUUUCUUUUUCAAGAAACACUAAUCUGAAUAUAAACUCAAACACGUUACUUGCAGGACUUAACUAAACAACAUAACUAAUUAAAGCCUGAAUUUUUCACUAAACUCCAAUAAAAGACAGCAACCUAAAAAAAAACAAGAAGAUGAUCUGUCUCUCACCAUGUCCCGGCUCUUAGGCCACGGAACCGGCGGUUUAUAAUUAUCCGGCAAGGGCACGAGACACUUGGGACUCGGUUCAGGGCAAUGCCGCUCACGAUGUUCCAUAUGCCUCCUCGAUUUGAGCUGCUUAAUGGCGUCGCGAUUGUCCAAACAAGGAAUGUAAUCAACAGAUUCAGCGCCUUUACAGAGAUCCCACUUCACCACCACCUCCUCGUGGGAAGCGUUGAGCUUCAUCUUCAUCUUCUGUGGAGUUUGGUCGGAAGAGACGUCGUGGUUUGAGGAUUUGGGGAGUGGUGUGUAGUCGGAGGAGAGAGAAGGGAGAGGGAAUCUGAGGUUAUCGGAGGUGAAGAGGAAGAAGGUGAUGGCGAUGAGGAGUGAGGUGAGGAGUAAAACGACGACGUGCUGUACGGAGAUCGCCAUUGGUGGAGAAGGAUCAUUAGAGAGAGAGAGAGACAAGUAACGAGAGCGUGUCUCAGCGAAGAAGAAGCUGAGCUGAGAGCUUCAAAAGUCGCAGCUUUCACAUUUCGAUUUCGAUUUUGUCAGUACAAGUGUAAAUUCUUAAUGCACCGACAAGAGUUUAAAAAAAGAAAGAAUUUGUGUCCGAAUUUUUUUUUUUUGUUUUCCAUUUUCCUUUUUUGACAAUGAAUCUUUUUACAAAAGAAAUUUAUGUCUUGUAAGUUUUAAUUUAAAUUAAUUAAAUAUAAAUUUGAUUAAAAAAAUUCUCAAUAUUCAAAUUUAGCCAAUAACCUAAUUCACAAACCAGCUGUCUUAAUUUUCACUUUUCAAUUAAACACAAAAAAUCUUAUGUUUAAAAUGUAUUAUAUUUUUUUAUUAAUUAACACAAAUUAACAAUGAUUAAAAUGUAUUAUGUUUUUAAUUAAUUGACACAUAUUUAAAUAAUAAUAUUUGAAAUAAAUAAAAUUAUUUAUACGAUCAUUGCAUUUGCAGUUAAUAUUAAACUUAAACUAACUGUAAUUGCAUUAGAAUUUUUAAAUAACAUUCUUUGUGUAACAUAAAAUGUAAAAUGACAUUUUUGUGAAAUAAAAAAAGUACUAAAACAUCGUUAACAAAUUUAAAAAAAAUACUUAAUAUUAGGGGGAGAGGUCUGUCAGCUUUAUUGAGAUGGUUUUACUUUGUCGGAUAUUCAUUCGAAUAUCGGAACACAGAAUAGAUCAGGUAGAUCAUACAGUUUUCAAACCAUUUUUGAAAAGAGUGUCACAUGAACACAUUUCAUAUGGAUUAAAACAAAACCAAACGGCCUCACUAAAUUGAUUGUUGUGGGUGAAGAGACACGUGAAUAUAUUACCAACUUGUGUAAACGAGAGAGAGAGCAAUAUCGACGGCUAACUCCGAAAGAACACAUGAUCAGGAAGCCGAUCAUGAAUGUAAUGUUUGAUACUUUAACCUCUCAACGGCUGAAAUAACAUUUGUAUCAAGAACAACAACAACAAACAAAAAAUCCUCCCAGGAGGUGUUCUACUUUAAAAGAAAAGACUACUCAAUGAUUCCUGCUCCACCAUCGAUAUCAACUUCACCCAUCCCCGUGUCUUCUUCCUCUUCUCCACUUUCUUCAUCCCCGCUAAUUUCUUCAUUGUCCAUUCUUAGCUUAGCCAUGUGUUCUGUCAGCAUCUUAUCAUCUCUUUCACUCACCUGUCACAACAUAGAUAGACAAGAGAAUUAAAACUCGAGAAAUAAAGGAGAACUACUUCUUGUGACACGCAACUUGGGAUAGUUCAAUAUUAAAUAAAAAAAAGAUACUAACAGCUCUAGGUGCCUCCUUAAUGACGAGCUUGCCUUUGUGUUCCUCAAUUGUCUCAGUGCAAACUGCUAUGGCCUUCUCUAGAAUUUCAAUCCCUUGUUCCUGUUCAUUAUAUUAUAGCCUGAGAAGAUUAGGAAACAAAAUGGGACACAAGUCACGGAACAUAGCAUUUACACAUUCGCUCUCGCGAAGCUACAUAAGUGUCUAACAAAGUAUACAUGACCAGUUUUUUAGUAUCUGUGUGCGUUUUCUUAAGCAUUUAGUUGAUGUAACCUCUUAAUAAUAAUAAUAAUAAGGAGAAGAGGGUGUGUGUAAUAUUGCUAUCAUGAUUUGAAGAGAGAAGAUUGUCUAACCUUGUCAAGAGUCUGAGUAGUAAGGACAUAGAGAGGUGGAGCAACCAAUUUAAUCUUAACAGGACAGUCUUCGUUUCCAGCAGCUUCAGCUUUUCUCAUGGCUUCCUGAAAAAAAACGCAAGUAAGUGUGAGAAUCAUUGAUGUAUUCUUUUCAUAUGUUAUAGAUAAUCCACUAAGGGUUUACGACCUUAAUGUGAACAACUCCGUCAAACUGAAAACAUUUCAAUUCGAUAUCAGCACGGAUUUUCAUAGGUUGUGGUGUCAUUCUCCUCCUGAUGUUCUUCACAAGCGCAUCUUUCACUUCUUCCGUAACAGCAGGUACAACUUUAGUCACCUGCAAAUAGAAUACUAGUAACAUUAGCAUCAAAGGAAGUUUGUACUAAGUACUAACAAAUAAAACAAAACCCGAGAAAAGUAUAUACCUCCUGCCCAUCAGGCCCAACUUCUUUGAUUUCACGGGUGAGGGAAUCCAACACAGAAUCAGGAUCAGUUACUAAGACCUUGAAGGCCUAAACAAUAAAAAAAAACAUUUGAGAGAUAGCCAUCUACGGGGAUGCAAUAAAAGGCUAAAUAAAAAAGUUUUUACCUCAAAAGCAUGACCAUGUUUACGGUACAAAGGCCAACCGAUGUUCACAUACAACUCCUGCAAAAGGAAAACUCAAAUCAAUGUAUAGUCAAAGGUUACAUCAGUAAGCUAUAAUAGCUGCAGAAGUGCAGAUGAAGAGAUAUAACAGUUUCAAGUCUCAGCAUCACCACAUCCACACUAGGGUAGCUACUUCAGUCUAUAUGCAGAAUUUUCAUAAUCUAAAAUUACAUCAAUAAACUAUGAUAGGUGUAGAUGAAGAGAUCUAAUCACAAAGAUAUAGCAGUCUCAAGCCUCAGCAUCACCCCACAAAGAUAGCUACUUUACACUAUAUGCAGAACUUGCAUAAUCAAAGGUUACAUCAGUGAACUAUAAUAGCUGUAGAUGAGGAGAUCUAAUCACUAAGAUAAAACAGUUUCAAGUCUCAGCAUCACCACUCAAAGGUAGCUACUUAACACUAUAUAAAGAAUUUGCAUAAUCAAAAAUUACAUCAGUAAACUAUAUAAUAGCUGUAGAUGAAGAGAUCUAAUCGCUAAUAUAUAACAGUUGCAAGUCUCAACAUAACCACACCAAAGGUAGCUACUUUACACUAUAUGAGAGACUCAAACCAAUGUAUAAUCAAAGACUACACCAGUAAACUAUAAUAGCUGUACAUAUCUAAUCACUAAUGUAUAACAGUUACCACACACAAAGGUAGCUACUUUACACUAAAUGCAGAAUCUACACAAUCAAUACCACUAAAGAUUCGAUUUUUAUUUACCUCCAAAUCAAUAGAAAGCGUCUCAGCAACAUGGCGCAUGAUAGAAUGAACAAGCUUGCUCUUAUUAUACCUCUCUUCACAAGUCUGAAUAUCCUCCUCGCUAACCCUACGCUUGCUCAGAUCAAUGUACCCUUUCUCCUUGUCCACACGCAGCACCAUGACGGGCUCGAUCCUCCCGACCUUAAUCAAGCUGCUCACACUUCGGAUCCGACGGCGGGAGAGCUCGGAGAAUAGGAUCAUGCCUUCGAUGUUGUUGUACUCGAGGAGCGACACGUAGGCUCCCAUGUCGGCGAUGUUUUUGACCUGGAUCAUCACCGCCAUGUCUACUUCCGGGUACUUGGACUCGUACAUCCGGCACUCUAGAUUCGGAGUCGCCAUGGUUGGAGAUGGGAAAGGUGUUGAGAAUUAGGGUUCAGGCGGAUAAGCGAGACGAGGAAGACGACUAAACGUCAGAGAGGCAAGCCUAAACGGUGUCGUUUUUGCGGAUUAUAUGAUUGGGCUUGAGCCAACAUUUUGGUUUAGGUUAAAAAAAAAAUUAGAUCGAACCGGUCUCUGAAUCUUGUGUAUAUAUACAACACAAUAAUAUAAGAGGAUUUAAAAACCUUCAUUAACCUAUUCUCAAGUCAUAUUUACAUACCUACUGAAUAAGAGACCUAUGGAACCUUGGAUGAUCUAACUUCAAAUGCAACCAAGCUGUUGCUUAAGCCGAUCCUCUAUACAUCAAGAUAUAGCAAAAUAUAUUAAUCCAUUAUACUGACCAAACAUAUACAUUAGCCCUCAUAAAAAAUAUAGUUUAAAAAAUAACUACCAGUGUUCUUAGAUGUUAAUUAAGAAACUAGCCAUUAUCUUUGGUAUGGCUGAAAUUAUCCUUAUAUUUUUAACUUAGUAAUAGUUAGUACGUAUCAUUAUUACAUGAAAAAUAAUGUGUAUAAUUUAGUUUGUUGGUAAUGAUUUGGCAUUGUUUACAAAUCAUAUGUAAUGAAAUUAUUUAAAACCAAGCAUUAACCAAUUAACCAAAACAACUUACUGGUAAACACCUAAUUGAAUUUUCACCAAAAUUAAGAUUCUGUUUUAAAUGACAGAGCAAAUAGAAAUCAGAUAACCAUAUGUACACUUCCAUAACCCAAAAUAAUCAACCAAAAGCAAUGCAAAAAGAAACAGACCAAUAUUAGCCGAUGAUUACUUACUAAUAACAAGAUUCAAGUUAUUGUGUUAAAAAAAUAGAAUUAUACUAACAGUUCAUGGAAACACAUUAUGUCUAUAUAAGCAAAUACAGUAGAUCGACACAUCUCAUAGUGUCUUAAACACAUUUAUUAAUAACACAAAAUCCUUCCUUUUAUAUACCCUGAACAAAAUAAGAAGAUGACUUGCAUUGCUUCUGUGUUUAAGGCUUUGUGUUUGUCUCUCUUGUUCGUCGCGGCCGUUGCAAGUCGUCCAACCAACAGGCCAAAGAUUUUUAACGUCCAACGCUAUGGUGCUAAAGCUAACGGAAAAACUGAUAACACCAAGGUAUGUAAAUGACCAAUAUAUAUAGAAACACACAAAAAUAAACAUUUUAUCAAUUAUGUUUUGUUUAAUUUGUCCAAAAUUAGGCGUUCACAAACAUAUGGAAAAGCGCAUGCACAAGGAAAGGUGGUAAUAGUAAAAUCUACGUACCGAAAGGAAUGUUUUAUCUCGGUGGUGUAGAGUUCGUAGGGCCAUGCGCGAAUCAGAUUGAAUUUGUUAUCGAUGGAACUUUAUUGGCUCCUUCAAACCCUAGGGACAUUAAGAACGACACAUGGAUCCAGUUCAGGUACAUUAACAAUCUUAUUAUCUCCGGUGCCGGUACACUCGACGGCCAAGGGAAAGAUUCUUGGCCACUAAAUGACUGCCACAAAAACCCCAAUUGUCCUAAGCUAGCUAUGGUACCACUUCUUAAUCCUUUUACAUAUUGCUUUAUUAUAUGACUUUACAAUGAAAAUUAUGCAAUUCAAUUAUUAUCUAUUACCCCUUCAAUUUAUAGAUUUAAUUAUCUAGAUACAAAAUGUCAUUAAAACGAGUACAUAUAUAGUUUUGAAUGAGGCAAUAUCGACAGAAUAAUAUGUCCAUAUCUUAUAUUCUAGUCUGCUAGUGUCUUACUAAACUUUAUUAUUCUCACAGACCAUGGGAUUUGCAUUUGUGAACAACUCAAGAAUCAAUGGGAUAACAUCACUCAAUAGCAAAAUGGGACACUUCAACUUCUUCUCUGUCCAUCACUUCAACAUCACUGACGUCACUAUAACAGCUCCCGGUGACAGCCCAAACACCGAUGGGCUAAAGUUUGGGUUCUGUAGCAACAUUAACAUCUCCAAGACACACAUUGGUACGGGAGACGACUGUAUUGCCAUCCUUUCCGGAACUACCAACAUGGAUAUCUCUAAUGUCAACUGUGGUCCCGGACAUGGGAUCAGUGUCGGAAGCUUAGGGAAGAACAAAGAAGAGAAGAACGUUAAUGGCUUAACCGUAAGAGACAUAGUCUUUAACGGCACUAGCGACGGCAUUCGGAUCAAGACUUGGGAGUCUUCAGCUUCGAAGAUCUUGGUUUCUAACUUUGUGUACGAGAAUAUUCAGAUGAUUAACGUUGGAAACCCUAUCAACAUCGACCAGAAGUAUUGUCCUCACCCACCUUGUCAAAAGAAGGUGAAAUUUCUACGUGCAAGAUAGAAACUUAGAUAAAAAAUUUCUCUUAUUACAAAAAAAAAAGAAAGUUGUGAUUUCAUUAUUUUUUUCAGGGAGAGUCACACGUUCAAAUCCAAGACCUUAAAUUAAAGAACAUAUAUGGAACAUCGACAAACAAAGUGGCGGUGAAUCUACAAUGUAGCAAGAGCUUUCCAUGCAAGAAGGUUGAGCUAAUUGACAUUAACCUAGAGCAUAAGGGAGUCGAGGGUGGUCCUUCCACCGCGGUUUGUGAGAAUGUUGAUGGUUCUACACGUGGCAAGAUGGUUCCUCAGCACUGCCUGAACUGAUUCAACGACCCAUGGGAACAAUAGCCGUGUGUUGUACUAUUUUAUAUUUUCUUAUGUUUUUUGUAUAAUGUCUAGUUGCUGUGUAUUCACUUCUUCUUCUUUUUCUUUCUGCUAGAUUAUGAAAGUUUUUGAUUGGUGCGACAAAGAAGUGAAUACACUUUCGUGUUUUUUCGUCUAUGGUCUAUUUUUUGUUUCGUAGGAGAAAAAAAGUAAAAUCAUAUUUUAUUAAUCAUACCUAAUUAAAGAAUAUGUAAAACUAUAAGAGAAACCCGUCUAAAAACCUCAUGAAAUAUCCUAUAAUUAAUCAAAUUAAAUAUAUUAUAUAUAGUUACGUAUUUUAAAAUUCAGAACACCAAUCCAAUAGUUUUUCGAAUAAGAUUGCUCAAAAAAUAUAUAUCUUCACUACAAAGUGAGGAUGUAGCAGAGGGUGGAUAUCUUCAAAACUAUAUAAUAACAAAAAUGUAUUUUAAAACUUACAAAUAGAGUAAAUAAAUAUGACUAGGGUGCUCUUAUUGGACCCAUUUGUUUGUUUGGGGUGCUCUAAUUGAUCUUUAUCAUAUAUAAAUACAAAUUAAAUUAUUUAGGAAUAUGAUUAUUUAUAUUUAAAAUAAAAAAAAAUAUUUAGCAUAAGUAUUCAAUUCAUAUUCUAUGACAAUAUUUCAAUAAUGCUUUAACUUUAAGAUUAGAAGAUAAUAUAGUACAUUGACAAGGUUAGUCCCGAAUCGGAGUAUUCAUGCUAUAUGUUGAUUUUAGUUUUUUCUUUUUCAGACACUCAUAUGGAUAUUGUUUAUAUCAGAAAUGACAAAAGGUAUAGCAAAAUCUUUUUAAUCCCCUAUAUAUUAAUUGAAGAUCAUUUAAAAAGUUAUAACUUUAAAUUUGUACUAAUGAAAAAAAAAACACGUUUAGGUGUCACUUAAUUAAGAUGUUAAUUUAGCUUACAUGGCAGCUUAAAAGACAAUCGAAAAAAAUGUUGGUCCAAAUCCAAUUAAUAGUAAACAUUAUAUUAACCCAAAAUAUAAAAAACGUGUAUUUGUUUUCUUAAAAAAAGUUACAGAAUUACCUAAUAUAAUUAACAUAUAUAUAACAAUUAAUGACUAUGAUUAAUAAAGAUUUGAUAACAAUUUUCGCAUACUUCUUUAUUUUUUAAAUUUUAUUUUAUUAAAAAAAUUAAACAAUCACUUUAACCAUAUGAUAAAAAAUUAGAUUGUUUUAAUAUGUUAUAUUUUGAAUUUUUAAUGACUUUAAAUUUUAAAAUUGAGGAAAUCUUAUAUUUUAUAUUUUAAAUUUUUUAUAUAUGACUUUAAAUUACAAAAAUGAGGAAACCUUGUAUGUUAUAUUUUCUUAUAUGUUAGAUUUUUUUAUAUGUUAUAUUUUAAUUUUUUUAAAACGACUUUAAAUUACGAAAAUAUAAGUUUUUGUUAAGCAUACGACUAAAAACAUUAAAAUGACAUGUAUCAAUUCGAUGGUUGAUCUGAAACUUCAAAACCAUAUGGAAGAUAAAUGUCAAAAUAAUUUAACUGUGGAAAUAGUACUGUUUACUUUUUUCAAGAAUGAGUUAGGUUAAAAAAAUAAGAUUUUUUGUUAUAAUUUGUUUAAUGUUCAAUCCGAUCAAUAUAUAAUAUAUUAAUUAUAGAGUUCUAUAAUUUUUAAUAAAAAUUGAUCCGGUCCAUCAGAACAAAUUAUAUAAUAACAAAAAAAUAUUGUAUAUGUAUAAAUAACAUGGUUAAAUAUAUAUAAAAGAUCGUCGAUAAUAUAUAUAAAUAAGUUCAUCAUACGCAAGACGCAUGUCUUAUCUUAGUUUAAUAUUUGUUUUUAAAUAGUCCAGCUAAGACUAUAUGAAAAUAUGAACUACCGUUGCUUUUUGAAAGAAUUUAUUUAUAACACAACUAUGUACGUUAUCACAAUCUUUUAUGCAUGUUUAUAUAGACUGGAAUGUAAGGAAAAUAGUAAAAUACUAGUACUUUAUAACACGUCACAUUGGAUUAUACAAACGCCAAAAAGCGUAUCUCUCUUUGGACUCGUCAGAUUUUCAUGUUCACGCGGAAAUGCAUAUGUUAUUAUAUUUAAAGUAAAAUGACACAAUAUGUAAAAACCUUAUGGGGUUUAUAAAUAAAAUAUGAAAGAAAAAAUAAGUAAAUGUAAAAUAGUGUUGCAUAAAAAAAGAAACGUGAAAAUAAGAAAGGUGGGUAGAUUUUAAUGUCAUUUUACAAACGACCAAAAGAGGGAGAACAUUAACAGCAGCCUACUUGACAACUUGCAUCUCAACUUGCAAUUCUUUCCUUCCACGACAAAGUUUAUAUAUAAUUCGUAAUAUGAUAAUACAAUUAAUAAUCAUGAAUUCAAUUUUUUUAUUAACAUAUGCAUUUAUUUAUGGAAUAUAUUAAAAGGUGUUAAAGAAUAGUACGUAUUAGCGACUUUCAUUUUUUUCUUUGCAACUUGCAUGCUUUGUUUUUUCUAUAACAAGUUGGAUUUUAUUACACCCCAACUUGCAUUUUACGUACGCUCAUAUACAUUUGUAUACAUCAUCUAUUCAAUCUUGAAUCUGAUUUCACAAGUCUCGAAAUUUUGCUUUUGGAAAUUUUAAAAAAUGAAGGUCUUUUCAUCAUGCUCAACGGGUUCUUUAUUUCAAACAACGAAAUAAUAUUAUAUGUUUACAAAAAAAAUUAUUAUAUUUAAUUUUGAUACUUUACAUUUUAUGCAUGAUAUAUUUAUAUAGAUUAAGGAAAUCUGGAAGAGCAAUUGUUUUGGCAUUUUAAUUAUUGUAACGGUUCACACAUCCCAAAAAUAAAAUAGUCCCGAUGAAUUUUAUCAUCACUUUGGCAGUAAUAGUAGUUCUGUAGGAUUAAUUUUAAUUCUACUUUAUUUAUUUUUCUAAAUUAAUUUAUCUUUGAUGAAUAAAAACAAAAUCAUAUAUGUAUUAGUGGAAAGUUGGUUGCUGAAAUGACAGCAUUUGAAAAAUUGUAGUUUCGAAAUAAGUAAGAUAUAAUUCUAAUAAUGCUGUAAUCUCCUUUUCAGUCUGCCAAGUUUCAGGAUCACCUGUCACCAUUUUUCUUGGCCUAGCACUAUAUCAUUAUAUUUGUAUAUAUCAAUAUACCAUAAUUAAAUUUCAUCAAAAAUACAAUUACUAUUAGAGAAUAGAAAUUCCUAACUGAUUGGAUUGAGUUUAUGUUUAAGGAUCGAACAUUCUGAUUGCGUAACUAUGAUUAAAGACCAAGUAUUUCUAUUGUUUGAACAUUUUAAGAGAAUGCAAAUGAUAUAUAUAUAGUUACAAAUUUAUAUAUACUUGUAUCUCUAAUACUCCAUAUACAGGAAAGGCGAAUCAUAUGAAUCAACACAUGGGUUUUAUGAUUGCCCAUAAAUGUUCAUAUCUCCUCAUAUAGUAUGGAUAUCAGUAAUUGUUUCAAUAAGUACUAUCUUACUAAAAAUGUCGGUAAUAUACAUUAUUACGUACGUUAAAAGAGAUCAGUCUUAGAAAUAUAGAAACAACACUCAUUAGCUGAUUCAUUAUACUGUUUCAACAUUAACCAAAGAUCAUACAUAUGUAACGUAACUGGGCACGAGGAAUAUUAUGGAAAUUAAGAACCUAAACAAACAAUGUUCUGUUGAUUUUAAAGCUACGAGAUUUAUAUAUACAAAAAGAGUACAAGAAGAAAUGAUUUACAGGUAAACUAAAGUAUCAUCGAAACGAACGUUUAGCAAACCUUAAAACCCUAACUUCGAAAAAACAAAACCCUCUUCAUUUUUUUGUAGUUUGGUAAAAAAAGAGAGUUGAUAAAAAAAAAAAAAAAACUGUAAUCACGAUAAUUUAGAUGGCUUCUCGGCGAGUUUAGCCAGCGAUUGCAAAUUGCAACGUACGAUGGUAUCGGCAAAGCUACAAGUCUCUUCCUUAUCGUUACCCGCUGGUACGUCAACGACGUAUGACUCAACAACACGUGUCUUCUUGUUAUCGUCCGGCGACUCGUUCACCGUCGUCACCGAUCUGUAGUUCUGAAGCCUGUGGUCUCCACCCACGACGCUGAAACUCAUGAUGUGGUGACCCUCGUCCAUGAUCUCAAGUCGCUCUAAGCUGAACGUCGCGGGGAGACCAGAGACGACUCGGACCUCCCUCACGGAGCCAGCCUCUCGACCGUCUCCGACAGCUACGUGGCAGCUCCUAACGAAGUGUUUGUACGCUUGAGGGUGUUCGAAGCGGCUAAGUAUCGACCACACGGCUGAAGAUGGAGCGUCCACGUCCUGCACCACGACGGAGAAGCACUGGGAGGGACCCACCACGUGCGUGUGGGAAAGCUCCACGUGCUCCGGCACAUCAGCCAUCCCACGCGUGAGGAUCACUUUCUGAAGAUGUUUGUGGUGGUGGUGAUGAUAGGUGCUGACGGUGGCGUUGGCUGCUUCUUAUUGAAGCCACACAGCAAGCCCACAACAAGCCCAAGACUGUCAUUGGAGAAGUCCAUAGAAAUCCAUGUAACUAGGGUUCUACCAUCUAGUAUAAAUAAUAGUUUAAGACUUUGUAAAAACUUAUCUUGGCUGCCAUAAGAGCAGCUCUCUUCCACUUAAUGAAAUAUCAGUUCAUCUACUUGUGUUCUUGGUGACAAUCUAGAGUUCAUCUUCUCUUUACUUUCUUCUUUUUUAUAAAUAAAGCUCUAUGAGCUAUUAGUCUUCAAUAAGCUUCUUAGAGCACAAAUCUAUCUUUAUAUUCAAAUGUCUUCAUGGUAUCAGAGCUUCAGUCGGUUCAUGGGUUAUUCUAUCCUCUUCUAGCUUCUGUGCACUCUUUCUAAGCCAUCUCAAGCUUCCAACAAGCUCUCUCAGAAAAACAAGGAGUUAAUGGGUGUUCUUUCAUCACGUUCAGCUUCCUCAACCUUAAGUCAGCUUCAUUGUUUCGUGGGUAUGGUCUCUGAAGUCGAAAUCCAAAAAAAGGAGGAGACUUUCUACGAUUUGGUUGCACUUAUGAAAAUUCAAGAAGAACGAGUCAGCAAGGUUGUGGUAAUGUUGGAAGCCAUGGACGCUCGUUUCUGAAGACGUGAAGGCAGUAGAGUCACAAGUUCCUCAAGUUUUUCAGAGACAUGUGAGAGCAAGGAUUUAAUGACAGUGCUAAAGCUUCUCAUCUUAUCAUCCACGGUAACUUCUUAUUCCUUCUAGGACAGAACAUGAAGCAAUGCUUGAUAGUUUGAGAAGGAAAGUUGCUGGUUUAGAUAUAGGUCUGUAAUUGUGAAGGUAGGAUGAAGCGUACAUUCAUUGGGUUUGAUAGUGAGGAAAUUGGGUUUGAUCGUGAUGAGAAUAGGGCUAUAAGUUACUGAUUUUAUUGGAUGCACAGAAGGUGCUCGAUAAAAGGCCAAAGAGAAAGUCAGAAAGUCUGAUGCAGAUUGUAGAUGGUUAUUGAAUGGAAGAAAGAUAGUGGGUAUGGAUACAAGUUGUUGUGGGAAGGUCCCUUUUUGUUAUAAGACAAAAAAAAAAAUGUUAGAGUUAAACGGGUCACAAGAGAAUCCGGACUCUUUGUGAGAAAGAAAGGUCACAAUGUACCUCUGAGUGAGAUCGACUAAGCUCUCCAAGUUCAAGAGAAACCUCUGAGUGAAGCCAUGCGAUACUCUCCAAGUAUAGACCAACAAUCUCUUUUAUGUGGUGAAUUGAAGACUACACCUAGCCAUGUGAUCAUGCUUCCACUACUUAUUCCACCAAGCCAUCUGCAUUUGCGGUUCAAACUUGUCAUCUUGCAUUCACCCGACGCCAAGUUUGCGGGGGAGUAUUGAAGCCACACAGCAAGCCCACAACAAGCCCAAGACUGUCAUUGGAGAAGUCCAUAGAAAUCCAUGUAACUAGGGUUCUACCAUCUAGUAUAAAUAAUAGUUUAAGACUUUGUAAAAACUUAUCUUGGCUGCCAUAAGAGCAGCUCUCUUCCACUUAAUGAAAUAUCAGUUCAU
rnacentral:lncRNA from 1 species